AAAAAAAAAAAAAAAAAAAAAAAAAAAAAAAAAAAAAGUUUAACUUUUAAAUAGAGAUUGCAAACAAACCCAGUUACUCUAUGAAUUGAAUUAAGCUACUACCUAUUGGGUUAUGGAACUACUAUCACUGUAUACUGAUAAGGUAAUACUUCUAAAGAGCUAUAAAAUUACUUCAGAAUAAUAAAAAAAAACCAAAAUUCUGAUAAAUCUUUGAAAUUUUAAGAAAUUAAACUCUCCAAAAAGGAAACAGCAAACAAUUAAAAGAGAUAAAGAGAAGAAACGGAAAUGUGUAGGAGUUUAACUAACCGAACCAAGCUUGAAGGGUGGGAAAUAUGAGUCGUGGAGGUUUCGCAUUCGGAUUCUCAUGUAGGGAUCGCAAGACAGGUAGAGAUUCUUGACAAGAACACCAUUUGUACCAGAUGGGACCUUGAGUUUUACAGAAUCAGUUCUGAUAUAGAAAUCUGAUUCUUGAAGGAAACCAGGCACGUAGUUCUUCAAUAUCACUUGCUUAUUGCUCACUACUUCACCAUGAUCACUCUCCAUUGUUGCAUCAAUCUCUAUCUAUGAACACAGAGGAAGGAAGAAAUAAUGGCCACUUUAGCCCCUAACUUACAAAUAAAGGAAGAAAACAAAACCCAGCUUGUGACAUUUUCCACACCAACUCGCAUAACAUUGGCCAGAUAAAUAAACCUAGCUUGUGUCUGGAAAAUGCGCGUGUAGGAUACGUGUCAAAAGUGAAAAAAGAAAGUAAUUAAAUAAUUUUGAAAUGAAAAAGAAAUAUGUAAUAGUAGUUGGAUAAUUGAAGAAUAAAUCCCUAAUUAUCGAAAUAGAAAUUGCAGCGGCAAAGAAGACGGACAGAGAGCGCGCGAUUGGCAGCAUCUUUCCGUGGAUUCAAGCAGUCGAUCAACCUCUUCCGCACAUAAUUUGAGUAUUUCGUAAUUUUGAGUGUGACUGGAGGAAAUGGGCAUAUUGGUUCUUCAUGGUCUUGGUUUCAGAUCAAGUUAUAGGAGAGAGAAAAACAAUAUGCUUUAAGAAAGAGUAGUUUUUUCAGUGUUCCUUCUUCCUGCAUCUCCAUCUUCUUAUGUAAUGGAUCCUUAUAAAACCCUGAAGAUCCAACCUGGAGAUUUCUUUUUUAUUGGAUUCAUGUAAUUGAAAGUUGAAACAAUUACCAAGAUGUUCAAGCGCUUAAAUUUUAUUAAUCAUGAAAAUGUACAGUAGAGUUACUUUUACACCUCAGUAUUUAUAUAUGCUCAGCAUGACAAUUAGACAUCCUAAUUUGAUUUCCAGGUACAAGAUUUGAGUUAAGUCAUUCUUGAGCAACAGCAACCACCUGUUUCCCAAUGUUGUGGCCUGUGAAGAGCCCUAUUAGAGCUGCUAGGCCACUCUCAAGCCCUUCUGCUCUAUCUUCUACAUACACAAUUUUUUCUUCUUGGAUGACAGGCAAAACCAUUUCCAGAUAUUUGGAAUGCAUGUGAAAGUAAUCAAGAACUAGGAAUUCUUCCAUUCGAAUUCGUUUUGAAACGAGAUGCAUCAAGUUGUGCACACCUUCUGGCUGCUCAAGGUUGUAUUGUGAGAUCAUUCCACAAACUGAAAUUCUUCCAUGGACCCUCAUGUUUGGUAGAACUGCAUCCAGCAUCUUUCCUAACAUUUUCAAAAUAUAUGUCUAGGCCUUCAGGGAACUACCUGCCACAUAGCAUUGAAACCAUAUUUUAACACUAAAUAACUUGAUCAUUAAGGACAAAAAAAAGUAUAUAGUCUGUAUCCUAAUAACUACGAAUUUUAAGGCUAAAGAGGAAGAAGCGAUGCCUUCAUUAAGGCUUUAAAACCAUAGAUUUGAUCAUCAGACCUUCUUGAUUUCUUUCUAAAUUUCUGACUGAGACUCCAUAUAUAGAUUUCAGUUCAGCAAAUUUUGUUAUUAACCAUUUCAAAGCUGCAUCCAAGUCUGGCUCUUCCUUGUAGUUGAAAGCAUCAUCAAAACCAAACUUAUCGUCAAUAGAUCAACCUUGCAUUCACACAAAUAAAAAUGAGGAACUAGUUAAUGAGGCUGCUUUCUUAAUUUGACAGAUCAUCAUAUACCAUACCUCAAUGGCGUUUAUCCAUGAAUAAGCACUGUGCAAGAUAGAAUAUAUCCUUGAGAAGAAUUUUACCUGCUACUCGGAAUUACAAUUCCAUGCUAAUUUUAGGAUGCAUUGGUUAUGCAUAGAAAAGACCUAACUGCAAAAAAAAUACCUCAGAACCCUUCAAUGAAUUUUUAGAUGUAUUCCCACUUAAGACUUUAUUAAUUGAUGAUAUAUAUUUUCUGUGUUGUAUAAAUUUUUUCUAUGCAAGUAAACUGAAAAUUGCUAAACUGGUAUUAGAUAUAUAAAGUAAACUUCCUGAAACAAUAAAAUUUAACUAGUAUUUCAACCAAUGGCUUGUACCAGUUUAAAAAAAAAAAGUACAGAAGUCACGUGGAUAACAAAUAAUAUAGCAUGCAAAUCUAAAAGUAACUUAAUAUUGUUGUUAAAUGCUAAGCAAAAAGAAAAAAGGCGAUCGCAGUAGAAUAAUAGAUCAUACCAUAAAUAUUUAUAAUAUGUAAGCAUACUUGGAUGUGUGAAUUCUCCCCCAUUUUUCUAUUCACAAUAGUAACUUUCAACUGGCUUCUAACUAGAGAUGCACCUCAAAUUCCCAUCCUUUUCAAUUACUUACAAAGCAUCAUAAACACCCAAAGCAUCCACAAAAUUCUUAAUUUUAUGGUUGGUGAUGAAUUUUGAGAAGCUGAAACUAAUUUGGUAGUAGAGGCUACCCUAGACACAUUUUGGAUUGGACACACUACAUUGGAUAGAGAGGGAAACAGAGAACAAAAAAGUCGCUGCAUUGGAGACAUAUAUUCAAAUUCAAUAAGAGAACAAAUUCAGCAAGUGAUACCUAAACACAUAACAACCUGUCGAUUUUGCAAACUACCUAGGGGCAUAUUAUGGAUUGAAUUAAUAAAAUGAGCAGUCAUGAAGGAUGAUCACCUUGUCCUUGCUUCCAGCACUGCCAACAAAAUAACAACCUGUCAAUUUUGCGAACUGCCCGACAAGCUGACCAACUGCACCAGAAGCAGCUGAAACGAAGACAAAUUCCCCCUUCUUAGGAGCACAUAUCUCGUAGGAACCAACAUAAGCAGUCAAACCAGGCAUACCUAAAAAGAUAAAAUAAUUAAAUUAGCUUCAACCAUUACCAACAACAGUGAUCUAACUAGUUGCAUAAAUUGAGUGCAUAAUAAAAGAGAGGAGGAAACGAGGGGAAGGAAGCAACAUCUCACCAAGAAUUCCAAGAUAAUAAGAAAGAGGCACAUCUUUCUCGUGAAUUUUAACAAGUGUUUCAGUUGCUGUUAUAAGACUGUACUCUUCCCACCCAGUCAUUCCAAUUACUGUGUCACCUUUCUUGAAGUCGAGUGAUUUGAAUCCACAACUUUGGCCACUCCACGAGCCAGUUUUAGGCUGCAUAUAUUGUUUCAAACAUCUCAAAAUCAAAAUUCUAUUACUUUGGUUCAAUUUCUUUUUAUUGCAUGAGAAUUAGAGUAUAUAUAAAAGUUUUCCAAGAAAAGAAACUAAUCUUAAAAAAAUUAAAGAAAAAAUUAUACAGAGAUUUUAAACAGAACCAACUAGUAUAUGAAUUUAAAGCUAAUAGAGUUAAGGAACUACAAUCACUGUAGACCGACAAAACAAUACAACUAGAGAGCUAUAAAAUUACUUCAGAAUACUAAAAACGAAAAAACAGAAAUACCUAACAACGGUUCUGUUAGAAUUCUCAGGCAUAUGAAUCCUAACCCAGUUGUUUGGUUAGUGAGAAAGACAUAGAAAACUGAAAAAAAAGUGGUAGAAGAGGAGAAGAAUUAUGGAGAAGAAAAGAGAAUUAAAAGAGAAGAGAAGUAAUAUAUUGUAUAUUAUUCAAUAGUCAAAAUUACUAUUCAAUGCCUUUACACGUCAUUAUUUAUAUCAACUAUCCAUGAACAAUAAUCACAGAACCAACCAAAAAUUACAGUUCACAAUAGAAAUCAAUACGACAAUUAUAUGCAAGUAGGAUUUAAGAAAUUGAAUCAUCCAAAAACGAACAAAAAACAAAAAAAGAAGAAUAACAACGGAAAUGGAUAGGAGUUGAACGACCGAACCAGGCUUGAAGGGUGGGAUAUAUGAGCCGUGGAAAUUUCUCAUUCGGUUUCUCAUGUAGGGAUCGCAAGACAACUAGAGAUUCUUGACAAGAACACCAUUUAUACAGAUGGGACCUUGAGUUUGAUGGAACCAAUUGUGAUGUAGAAAUCUGAUUCUUGAAGAAAACCAGGGACGUAGUCCUUCAAUAUCACUUGCUUAUUGCUCACUGCUUCACCAUGAUAUAUCUCUAUUUUUGACACACAGGAAAGAUAACUUUAUAGCCUGUACAGACUGAGACAAACAGAAUUGAAUUGAUCAUACGUCUUGGCGAGUAAAUGUAUGGGAUUUGGGGUUGUUUGUUUGCCAAUUGCCACAGAAUUCGGCUUGGAAAAUCUUCAAAUUUUCUCUUUCUUCAAUAUUUAUUCAAUAUUUAAGAAAAACAUUAUAGAAUUUGGUUUUAGUUAUAUGCAGUUCAUAGAAUUGAAUUAUAAUUUUUUAUUUUCCAGGCAAAGCAAUUAAAAAUAUGAAGUUCAAUUGAAUUUGAUUAAAUUUUCAGAAAUUCACUUAAACAAAAUAGAAUGUAACACCUUAUUUGGAUUAGAAAUUAGAAAGGAAAGGAAACAAAAUGAAAAAAUAAAAAAGAGGAAAAUUUUAGAAAAAUGGUUUUUUUCCUUUUCCUUGUGUUUUUAGUCUGAAUAUAGAACGAGAAUAAUUCUUUUUUCUUUCUUUAUUAAUCCAUUUUCUAGUUUUUUCUUUCUAUUUGUCCUUCCCUAAUACGGUAUGUUUCAAGUUUUUCUUCAAUUUCAGGGUUUUUCUUCAUUAUUUUUUCCUCAACUAUUUUUUCCUGUAGAAAAAAAAAAUAAAUUGUUAAUGUGGCUUUAUUUUAUUGAAGGUGUCUAUAAGUGAGUGAUAUGUCUCAACAAAUAGAAUGUCCUACCAAAAAUCAGUGCCAACUAUUCUUUCCCUUCCGAGACAAAAAAAUUAACAAUAGCAUUCCAACACCCAAGCAAUAUAUAAAUUUACUAGUAUUUUGUGAUUUUUCCUCAAAAAAUCACAUGAAAUCACACAAAAAUUCCACCAGGUUACUCCACAUCUCAGAAAAAUCAAAGAAAAAGAUAUUUUAAAAUUCUGUCAAUAGGAAAAUAGAAGGUCCAUUACAAAGAAUAAAAUCUGCCAAUUUUCCAUCUGUUUCAGCACAGACACCCUUGUAUAGAUAAGAUCGAUGGGUUCCAUGGGGUAAAAAGCACCUAAUUAAUCUCCUCUUCCGCUAGCACAUACAAACAGUACAACUAUCUAAGGAUGGUUUAGUCCAGAAAUUUUGUUGCAGAUAAAUAUCAAACAUCGCAAUUCUGCUACAAGUCUAGUACCAGUUACUGUGCACAGUGAGAAUUAAUUACAUCUAGUUCAUGACUAUUUGUAUCUGGAAACCCCGUCUCACGACAGACAUUCCAGUGCUCAUAAAAAUAAGAAAAGCAACAGCAUUAAACGGUAUAAUUUAAAUGAAGAAAAAACAAGCAUAACAAGGAGAACAACAUGUAAUUUAAAAUUAAUAAAAUUCAUUGUAGAAAAUUCUUCUAUGUCUAAAGUUGAUGCCGGAAAAUGCUGAAGAUCUUACAACCAUCAAAUGACUACUGAAACAAAACUUGAUUGACAGAUGUAUAACCAAAAAUUUGAAAACAAAGCUACCUUAAUAACCUCCAAGAUAUUGAGAAGCACCUGCAUGCAAAAAUAAGUGGCACUUGUACAUUUGCUAACUCUCUUCGAACCUCAAUCAACUCAACACCUCACAGAAUAAGGGAAUUUCCUACCUGAUUUAAGGUCAACAAUGGGGGUUCUGCCAUUUCUCAUAUACCUUCUAUGCAUGCUGGUAAUGGUGUAGCUUGUAUAACAAUACUUUCCCAGCAGCAUUUCCUACAGCCAUGAAACCUCCACCAGGACUGAAAUCUAAACAGCGGGGAUACUGCAGGGACCUAUUUGGAGGAGGCCAGUUAGAGAAGGUAGUAAAUGAUGGGACAUGUAUCAACUUUAAACUAUUCUUCUUCAUGUGUGAGCAAAUGGCUAAUAUCUGAGCAUCAUAAUUAAAUUUCAAAAAAUCCACUUUAGUGGUCAAAUUUUCAAUUGCCUUGAUUGGCUUUCUCUUUCCACCUAAAAAUUCCUCCCUGUUGUAAACAUUUACUAUGCCACUAUCUGAACCAGCAGCAAAUAAAUUUCCAUAUGGAGAACUGCAAAGUGCUGUGCCUUUUAUACAACCUUCAUCAACAGCCUUAUGAAUGCAUGUCCUGGUUCUCAAAUCCCAGUGAUAGACCUGUCCAUCACCUCCAUGGCUCAAUAAUUGUUGCCCAUCAUCUGCAAAAGCUAAAGAACGAGCAGUUCCAUUCAUCUUCAGAGUCCCAAUAAGCUCCUUUGUUUUGGAUGACACCAACAAGAUAUAACCUUCAUUCCCCACAAAAGCAAUCGUGCUAGAAUCUGGGGAAACCUCAAAAACUUCCAAGCUCUUCUCCUCCCUGCCAACUAAGGGGCCAAUUUUAUCAACUUUUGCUUUCACUAAAUCAAAGCUGUAAAAGAAUUUUCUUCUUCCUGCUAUAACAACCUGUGAUCCAUCAGGUAAGAAUGAUGCCUUGUGAAUGGGGCAAUCCUCAAUGAAGAUACUUUGUAUUUUUGUAUUCCGUUUACCAUCAAUUUGAAAAAACCUUAGCCUCCGAUCUAAUCCAGCAGCAAGUAGCAACUGUGCAUUCCGAUGGAACUGCACUGAAUUUAUUGGACCAUUGGAUGCAUCCUGAGCAUUUGCAUCAACAAGUCUUGAGUACUCAAGACGCCCAGGCAACAGUUUCGACCUGCUCUUCACUACAAGAUCUUCAUUUGUUCGAAGAAUAUCACUAAAAAAUUCAGCAUCCUCAUAACCAUGUGCUGCUGCAAAGCCAUUUCCUUCAUCUGAUGAUUCACUAUCAUCUCUUGACUGAAAACCAGGUCGAGCCCACUCAGUUCCUGGAUUCAACUUUGCAUGAUGAACCCUUAAUCUUGCAACAUAUUCCCGACCUGAAAUCAAGCUCUCAUCCUCUUCCUUCCUAAGUUUUCUUAACCUAUUAAUCUUAGAAAUAUUAAUUGUGGCCUUUUCCUCUUCAUCAUCAACCCAUACAGCUUUCCCUUGUUUAGUUUCUUCUUCAAGGUCACUUUUCUCAUUGAAUUCGGAAUCCUCCUCAUAAACAGACAAUUCGCUAUUUGCCGAACGGUCCACAAAGAAUGAAGCAGAACCAUCCCUAGUCUCAUCAUUUUUUCCAAAUUCAAUAGGAGAGUAUAGGGACCCAAACAAAAAAUUCUCCAACCUUUUCAUUUCCCUUCCUUCAUCAAGCUCUUCGUUUUCUUUCCUUCUCCUUUUGGCUUUUGAUAUAACCAAAUCAUAUUCUCUACCAUCACCCUCUUUAUUUCCUUCCAUAAAUGCAGGUUUAUCAGUCUCCUCCUUUCUAGUCUUGUCUCUGUUUUUAGAGCCAACAUUUUGAGAAAUCAAACUCAUCUUUCCACAAAAGAAACUCUCAAUGCCUACAAAGUGAGACCAUUUCAAGCAAAACUGUUAUUGAUUUGUAAAAAAUUAAAUAACCCAAGCGUUAUAAAUAUUUUAUUAGUUCCACAAAGAUUAUAAAACACUAAAUUAGUUCCACAAAAGUCACCAGGCAGUCACAAUGAACUUUGAAGCUAAGUAUAAGUAGUUACACUAAAAUGUAAUUUAAAUACGAUCAAGUGACAAAGAUUAUGAUAAACCAAGUACAAUUACCUAAAGAUUAAAUUUUAUUGUCUCUAGAGUUUUCUCUAAUGAGCAUGUGAAAAAUUAAAAAUGUAAAUAAGUAAUGAAAGAGAGAUAUUAAUAAAAAAAAUAAAAAUUACACUUGGUUUAGAGGUUACCCUUGAGCUAGAAAGAUGGAUUAAAAAAGAGCAGCAGUGACUGACGGGAGAACGUUUUACUGCAGUUUCCGUCAGAGUGAAAAGGCUGUUCUAGGAAUGGAAGAGUCGUCGAUGGUGGCUUGCAAGAUGAGAGAGUCGGAGACUUGGAGAAAUCAAGAAAGAUUAGAAUAGAGAGGAUGGCAACUGCUGAAAUGAGUAAGAUAAUGGAUGGAUUUGUCAGUUUAGGUCUUUAGGUUUUUUAUUGAAACUAGAGUUGUGAUUGAGCUGAGUCGAGCCGAGCAGUGAAGGGCUUGAGCCCGGUUUAUGAUAGAUAUACUUGAGUUGAGACUCAGCUCGUUUACAAGCUCGAGCUUGAACUCGUACACUAAAACAGGUAAUAUAUAUAUAUAUAUAUAUUGCAACAAUGACAAUCUUAUAAUCAAGAGGUCAUCAACUCAAAUUACAAUAUAGCAGCAUUUAAUCACCUACAGCUGAGGAAUUAUUUCAGUGGCAAAAGUGUCCAAAGAAAACCAGUAAUGCUGAAAAUACGAUGCUGUAUUUUGCCAACCCAAAGCAGAUUCUCAGGACUUAAACUACAAAUAAAAAAUUACAAAUAGCAAACAAAGAGUAGCCUUAAUAAAGAACUCUGUUAGAUGAGCAAAAGUUCAACAACACCAAAAGCCAUUUUUUAUCAGUCAAGUAUAAUUGAUAAAACUUCAAAUUUAUCAACAAAACAAUAACAUUUAGAGAACGUACUAUUUUCCUUAAUCUGUCUAAAUCUUUACAGGAAACCAAGCUUUUCUCAGGCCUGUAUUUAGCAUGCACUACAGGACCUAAUAUAGUCCUACCAAUACCUUCAACAGAUCCAUUUCCUUGGUGCAUUCAAGCAUACAGCUCAAAGACAAAGUCACUAUGCUCAAAAUUGAUAGUUUCUCCUUCAGGAAAAUGCUCGACUACAUAGAAGCUUUAACAUACUGAAGCAAAAAAAUACUGUUUUAAGAACUGAAAAAAAGCUGUCAAUUAGCAAUUGGUCACUAGUUUAGUUCCAGCAUCAAUAACUCUAGAAAUAUGGCUCCAAAUACAAUCCAACGUACAAAGAGAACGACAAAAUUGCCGAUGCAUCUGGAGGUAACCAGAAAUGAAGUAAUUUAAAAUGGUUCAAAUCACACCUAAAAAAAGUUCAGCAAAAUGAAAACCUAAACCAGAAAACCCAAUUUCAAACGAAACAAAAAGCAAAAACCACAAAUCACAUAAAAUCAAAAAUUAUUAAAGGAAGUACCUGAGAUACGCGAGGUUUUUAAUUAUUGUUGGCAAUGACUAUUGGAAAGAUUAGGGUUUAAAGGACAGAUUGAGCUCGAGUUUUGCAUAAAAGUGCGAAGAAGCGAGAGAUUGAUGAGCAGGAUGAGGCAACACUCAAGAGGCAACAAAAAGAGAACGGUUCACGGCUUUAGCUUUUGUGCUUCUGAGUGAAACUGGAAAUUGAAAACCCUAUAACCAAAACGACAUAGUUUUUUAUGUAGGUUCUGUUAAACCUGGAUGGUGCGCUCGUUGAGUUUAUCCAUCCAACCGGUGUAGUUUCGUUUCUUUUGACCUGGUCCCUCUUUUUCUAAAUUUUAUAAGCUGCUCCACGGUUUUCACCGCUUUGCUCGGCUAUAUGAUAUAGUAUACUUAUUUUGAGAUAUAAAAAUAUAUAUAUUAAAUAAAUUAUUAAAAAAUUAAAGUACAUAUAAUGUAUAAAUGGUAUACAUUUCAUAUUUAAAUAUAUCGUGUGAAAUUAAAAUUUUAUAAUCUGAUUAAUAAGUGAAAUAUUUAUGCAAUAAAUUCGAAAGAAAAAAAAUGCUAUUAUAGUAUUUUUGUAUAUAGCCAAUUGAAACAAAAAAAGCAUAUUAUUAUAUAAACAUGAAACACAGAUAACAAAAAAUAAUGAUAAUUUAUAUUACCUUAAAGUAAUAACUUGAAGUAUAGACAAACAUGUAUAAAUAAAUUUAAAAAAAUUAUGAACGAUAAAAAAAUAUAAAAUAAAUUUAUAAUAAAAAAAUUAGAUAAAAAGCAUGACAAUUAUUACUUUAUAUAUUGCAAUUUAUAUUUUGGUAGGUAGAAUUUAUUAGAUAUCAAAAUCAACGUUUUCUAAUAGGUUUUUCUACCCGCCUUAUUUUAUUAAAUUUUUUUCUUUUCCUUAUUUAUUAUGUAAUAUAUUUCCUUACAUUAACAAAUUUUAAAUUUAUAUAAAAAUUUAAUAUUGCUAAUCAAAAUUAAAUUAUCUUUAUUUUUUAAUAAAAAAAUUUCUAUAAAAUACUUAAAAAUAUACCUUAGUUAGUAUAAAAUAUAUUUUUUAUUUUAUUCAAUAAAAAUUUAAAUUAAAUAAAAAAUUAAUAUAACUAAUUAAAAUUAAAUUAUUUUUAUUUUUUUAACCAAUAUUUAAAUCCUUAAAAAUGUUAUAUUCUUUAAAUCUUAUUUUUAUUAUAUAACACACUUUUUUCUUUUUUCAAAUAGAUUUUUUAUUUAAAUAGAAAAUUAAUAUAAAAAACCAAUUAAAUUUACCUAUAAAGUUAAAUUUGCCUUCAAAAAAAAAUUUACCUAUAAAGUUAAAAUCUUUGAAGAUAUUGUAUUUUUAUUAUAUUUAAUAUAUAUUAUGUAGUAUGUAAUAUAAUAUUUUAUUAUAUUUAAUAAAAGAAAAAUUAUUUUCGAAUCCCUAAAGUUUUGCAAAAUAUAUUAGUUUAUCCUCUAUUUGUAUAAAUUAUUUCAUAGUCUUUGACGUAUGUAUUGAGCUUUCGAUUAGAAAUUUGGAUUUACGAUGGAUGGACCGACGGGGAGGGAUAAGGUUGACCGACGGGGAGGGAUAAGGUUGACAGUGUUUCCGUUGAUUACUUUUUGUGGGUCUCAUAAUAUACUAUAAUUAAGGGUAGUUAAAAAUAGAAAAAUUAUAUUUCUAAGUCUUCUAAUGAAAAUAUUUCUAUCUUUUUUACGUAAAAUUAACAGAAAAAGUAUUGCUUUUUCAUCGGAAGAACUAAAGAGUUAGACGGAGACUUAUGUUAAGGACUAUGGAAUAAUUAGUACAAAAAACAAAGAUGAAUUAAUAUAUUUUGUAAAACAUAAGGAACAUAAAAAUAAUUUUUGAAUACAAUUUAGAUUUAAAUAAAAAAUUAAUAUAAAACAAUGAAAAUUGAAUUAUUUUUGUAAUCAAUAAAAUCAAAUUUUUUUAAAAGAAAAAUAUUUUUCAAUUCAAAAAUUUAAUACGGACAUUUUUAGGGAUCUUAAUAAUCAUAUAUAUAUACCGAACGGACCGCUAAAUUUGAUCCAAGCCCAAAAACCGAAAGAAAGAACAUAAACCGAAAUCUAAAGGUUUCUAGAAUCAGAUUGUUGGCUUUCCCAUUUUAGUUAGCCGCUUUCAUUGCAAAUAUCUGAUUUGGUCGAUACACUGUUCACACUCCAUAGUAAUCAAUAAUAAGCCUACAAAAGGGUUAAAGAACUUCCAUUUUGCUUUGAAGAGAAGACCAAAACAGAGAGACUGAAUUACAGAGCUACCAAUCAAAUAACAAUGGCCGAUGAAGUAAGAAACAAGCAAGUAAUAUUAAAGAAUUAUGUAUCUGGGUUUCCAAAGGAAUCUGACAUGGAAAUCGUCACUUCUUCUAUAAGGCUUAAGAUUCCAGAAGGCAAUAAAGAUGCUGUUUUGGUAAAGAAUCUUUACCUGUCUUGUGAUCCUUAUAUGCGUGGUCGCAUGACUAAGCGUGAUACCCCUACCUUUGUUCCUUCCUUUGAGCUUGGAAAGGUCAGUGAUUCAUAAAAUACCCACUUCUUGUUUUUUUUUCCUUUUCUUUUCUUUUCUUUUCUUUUUUUUUUNNNNNNNNNNNNNNNNNNNNNNNNNNNNNNNNNNNNNNNNNNNNNNNNNNNNNNNNNNNNNNNNNNNNNNNNNNNNNNNNNNNNNNNNNNNNNNNNNNNNNNNNNNNNNNNNNNNNNNNNNNNNNNNNNNNNNNNNNNNNNNNNNNNNNNNNNNNNNNNNNNNNNNNNNNNNNNNNNNNNNNNNNNNNNNNNNNNNNNNNNNNNNNNNNNGGGGGGAGGGUUGUGUGGGGUGUGGGGUGGGAGAGAGAUGGGGAGGAGUUGGUUAGAAUGGAAUUUCUGAAAUUUCUUGAUGUAACUAACUGUUAGUGCCUAUAAGAUGAGACUCUUUGGACCAACCAACUAGGGUCAACGGAGAAUUUUCAAUUACCAUUUCUCUUAUUUGUUGGAGGGUUUACACAAUCAAGGUUUACAGAAAAUGCUGACAAAAUUUUCUAAUUCCCCCAUUUUGUUUUGCUUUGCUUAUAAUGUCUAGAAAAUUUUAAGUUCUGCUUUUGUUGGUUUUUCUAUUGAAGGUAAGAUUCUUUUGGUAACUUGGUGUUUUGAAUUAUGCAGCCUAUGAAUGGAUAUGGAGUGGUCAAAGUUUUGGAUUCUACACAUCCAAAUUACAAGAAAGGAGACUUAGCUUGGGGUUUUACUGGGUGGGAAGAAUAUAGUCUCAUUACAUCACCACAGCUUUUAAUUAAAAUUGAACACACUGAUCUACCUCUUUCCUACUAUACUGGAAUUUUAGGUCAGUUUAUAUUUUUAACCAUACAUUUACUGCUACUGGUCAAGACACUUGGAAUGUUAAGUACGUGAAAUUAGGAUUUGAAAUAAUGUGUUUGCAUUUGGAACAUUUAAAUUUUUGUUGCAUGGAAAAUAGGGAUUUUCUAGCAAUCCUGCGUACUUUUUGUCAAACUCAUACUAUUGUUGCUAUUUUGUGCUUCUUAGGUAUGCCUGGUGUGACUGCCUAUGCCGGUUUUUAUGAGGUUUGCUCUCCAAAGAAAGGAGAGUUUGUUUAUGUAUCAGCAGCAUCUGGUGCAGUUGGUCAGAUUGUUGGGCAAUUUGCAAAAUUAAUGGGUUGCUACGUUGUUGGAAGCGCUGGCUCUAAAGAGAAGGUGAGCCAAGUCCAACCCUCUUAUGCAUGCUAUCCUCUUGAGCAUAAUAUGGAUACAAUAACUCUUUUAGUCUGUUUAGUUUAAUUUGAUCCAGUUGGAAAUAUUUUGUAUUGCUCAUAACUGCAAAGCUCUUAGCUCUCUGUUUACAGUAAACAAGUGAAACAAAAGCAUAGACAGACUACUAAUUAGAAACUAGUAUUCUUAUUCUCUUGCCAUGUAUUAUGCUGCUUUUUUUUUUUUUCAAAUUUUUAUUGGCUGCUAAUUUUUGUUCCUUAUCAUUUUGUCAACACAAGGUUGAUCUGCUGAAGAACAAGUUUGGGUUCGAUGAUGCUUUCAAUUACAAGGAAGAGCCAGAUUUAGAUGCAGCUCUUAAAAGGCAAGUACAUAAAAUUUUAAGUAUCAUUGUCAAGCUUGGGUCUGAUAUAGUCUGCUAUAUUAGUAUAAAGUUUCAUUGGAAAUCUAUUAUAAUAUACAAAAAGACACCACAUACUUAAUUGGGUUGUUCUGUUUUAAGAAAACAAAAUGUAGGUCAAAUUGGACGUAAUGUAGUGAAUGUGCAUUGAAAAGAAAAUGCAGGUGAUCUUGCCACAGGAAACGUUGCACCUCUCUAAAGCUGUUCAUAGGCCAUUUCAAAACCAAAUAGUUGUUUCUUAUCUCCCAUUUCCUGGCAUUUUAUAUUCAUAUCUAACAAUAGUGUUAUAUUGGGAUUGCAGGUAUUUUCCUGAAGGCAUAGAUAUUUACUUCGAAAAUGUUGGUGGGAAAAUGCUUGAUGCAGUGCUCCUCAACAUGAGGAUUCGUGGUCGAAUUGCUGUUUGUGGAAUGAUCUCUCAGUACAAUCUUGAAAAUCCCGAAGGUGUACACAACUUAGCAUCUAUUAUUGCGAAACGAAUUCGCAUGGAAGGAUUCCUGGCUGGUGAUUUUUACCACCUUUAUCCCAAAUUUCUAGAAAUGGUUAUCCCUUACAUCAAACAAGGCAAGAUUGUAUAUGUAGAAGAUGUAGCUGAAGGACUUGAGAGUGGACCUACAUCUCUAAUAGGACUAUUCACUGGCCGGAAUGUUGGAAAACAGUUGGUUGUUGUUGCUCGUGAAUGAAAAUAAUAUGAUUAUAGUCUACUUUUUAGUCUUUACAGACAUUAGAGCUCCUGAGAAUGUGUCUUGGCCUCUGUUUAAAUGGUUUAUAUUUGCUCCUGUGUCUUUAUGACUUGUUUUAUUCAUGGAGAUGUGUUGCUUAUAGAAGUUGUCCUUUUGAUUAGAAAAUGGAGUUAUUAUUAUUGUUAUUAUUAUUUUUUUAGGGUAGAAAAUCGAGUUAUUUGGACUUUCAAGUUGAAACGUGCGAAAGCUAUCUUAAAAUAAACAAACCUUAACGAUUUCUUAUUUAAUAUUUUCAACAGUGGCUUCUCAAUAGCAGUACAAACAAUAAUGUUAAUUUUUAGUUUGAGGGAUUUUUUGAAUUUCAUGCAUCUAAUCCUAAUAUAUCCCAUCUCACAAUUCUUUUGAAACGGCUAAAACAACAAAGAAAUAUUUGGCCUGUAAAUUUUGAACUUGGGAUUCUUUUAUGCUUUCAGCCAUUUUUAGAAUCAUUUUCAGCCCAUGAAUUGAUAGCCUAUUCACAAAAGUUUUGCUACGUUUUGCUACCCUUAGUAACUAAGAUGUUAUUUCCUACUAUUGUAAUUACAGAAAUAACCGUAUCAUAGUUCAAAAAAUUAAUAAAUAACUAGAUCGCCAUUAAAGAAAUUUCAAAAGGAUAUCAAUUUGAAAGCAACUGUUGACCUAUAAACAUGGCACACUGAGAGAAAAGUAAUGUUCUAAAAGCAAGACAAAAAUUGGUAGCUGGAACUAUGUUCUAAAAACAACAAAAAUUGGGAAGCUGCAAUGCUAAUUCAUCCACUAAAAUUCACAAACUACUGGUCUAUCCUUGUCCAUGAAAUACAUAUUGUAUUUUUACAUGUGCAAGGCACAAAUUUGCCGUCACUGGGGUUUCCGCAUCGCCAGGUAAAAAAGCAACAUCAAGUUUUCAUUAUAUAGGAAAAGCAUAUCCUCGGAGGUGUUUAGAAUCUACACCUGAUUCACGCACCAAUGCUAUUCUCCCAGUUCUUGCCACCUAAAGAAGAGGUAUAAAUGUUAUAUUACUAGAUGAGAGAUACAAGGACAAAGCAGACUAGACGUACAUCAAAGUGAUGUAAGAUUUCUAUUAGUUUAAAACUGUUGUAAAGAACAGAACAAUGCUGCCCAAGCUGUUUGGAGUUUGUUAUAGUAGAUCUAAAGAAAACUGCAGUAACAUGUUUCCAUUGGCAGUGAAACAUGCAUAGUUCGAAAUUCCAACUCAGAAGAUUUAAGAUUUGUAAAACAAACCUCACAAAUACCAUAGGGUUCCAACAACCUUUGCAGUGCAACCAUCUUGUCUAAAUCUCCUGUAAGCUGGAAUGAGCAUUAUAAGGCAAUGAGAUUGGGACUUAUACAGCACGACAGCCUCUUACAAAACCAUGGCAGAUGAAAUGACAGGAAAUAAAUGGGGAAUCGGGAUUGUAAUAACCAAAUAUUAGCUAUUGUUAACAAAAGAAAAAAUGAAUGAAUUUUACUUACCUCAAGAGUUACUGUGUGGUCUGAUACAUCAACAGCUCUUGCCCUAAAAAUGCUAGCAAUGUCAAGAACAUCACGCCGAGCAGCAGCAUUUACAGCAAUCUUUAUCAACAUCAAUUCUCGUUCAGCAAAUGGCAAGUGGGUAAGAUCCUGAACCUGAAGUAGUUUUCAUCAGAACACACUUAACUUCUUAACAUAAAUGUUAACAAACAUAAACACGUUUGUACUAACCCAUUAAGUGCCUCUAACCUCUGAAAGUAAUAAACUAUUUGAUUUUGGAUAUAAGUGAUUCAGAAGCAAAGCAUGUUAGGUCAAAAGUCCAAAGACAGUUUUUUGCCAUGCUUUCUGGUUGAAGUAAAAGCUUGGAGACAGGGUGUGAUUGGUAAUACAAGGGUUUGUCUUUCACAGGCUAAACAAGAGAUUUAUGCAAAAGAAAUGAUAAGAUCCCAUAAAAACUCAUACACUUGCCUAAUAUAUCAUAUCAUUCUGAUUACUGAAAUUCCUCACCUCAUGAAGUUCUACUAACUUAUAUAGUUGCUGCACCAACUUGCUUAUCGAUUCAUCUGUACCAGGCACGACUGUUGUAAUUCGAGAGAUGCCCUCAGUUUCUGAGUGCCCAACAGCCAAACUCUAAUGCAGAUGGAAAAAACAAAGAAGAUGAGUGACUAAAUGUUUUCAGCGGAAGAGGAGAAGAGACAGAGAAAGAGGAGAAGAAAGCACCUACCUGAAUGUUAUAACCCCUUCGAGCAAAUACCCCAGUCACAAUAUUAAGAACUCCAGGAGCAUCAUUUACAAGCAUGGAUAGAGUGUGAGAUCGAAGUCCAGUAGUCUGAAAUAUUUAACCAAGUACUUAUACAUUCGCUAUAUUAUAUCAAUGUAAAUAGGAGCAAUAUCUCUACAGCACCAUCCCCAUUGUAACACAGAUUCAAUUUCAGAAAGAAAGAAAGAAGUUUUGCAAUUGAAUCAAAUGAAAACAGUAAGCAUAAAUAUACAAAAUAAAUAACUCUUACUCAACUAAUCUUCAAUGUUAGAAAUUGAGGAAGGAUUUUUCCUAAUACUGCAUUGUCCCUUUCACUCCUAAUAAAAAAGCUUAGAUUGCAGGAAACAGAAGUUCUACGCAGAAAUAAGCACUCUUACAUCGUCCUCAUUGAGAACACCCCAAUGAGCAUCAAGAACUUGAGCGACUUUGAAGUCAUCAGAUGGCUCCACUGGAUAAACAUCACCCUGGAUUAACAGGACAGGAAAAGGUAAAAAUGCACAAUCUAUUAACACAGUUAUAAAAAAAAUCAAGUACACAUAUGCGUGAGAAUAAGAAAAGCACAUAUACAUAAAAACUAAGAUUGAUAUUGACACAUAUAUCCAGCCUUCAGUUACUAGAUGGACAAAAAUAGGAAUACAAAAGUGAAGUAUAUAUGGCAUUGCAAUAGCACAAGGAAACAGCAUCCAGCACAUAUUUCUUUGACAAAACAAAGUUCUAGAACAUGAUUAAUGAAUAGAGUAUUCAUUGCAAUUCUCAACAAUAAGCCAAAGCCAUGUUGAUAAAAAAUAAUGUAGACAAGCUUCUGGCGCAACCUGUGAGAAUCAUGUGAAAACUCAUUUCAAAGAACUAAUAUUAAACUAAGAUAUUAGGGUAUAAUAAAUAUUACCGUGUAAGAAAACCAGUUUAGAGAUAGCAGUAACACCACACCAUUGGCUUUAUCCACACUGCAGGAGCCCAAAGGGAAAUUCCUGCCCAUAAAAGCUAGAGGGCAGGGAUGGGUUUAGGCUGUUGUCCCAUUUCUACCCCAAUUUAAAAAACAUACUGUUAUUUUAUAACUUGAUUUAUAUAAAUAAAUAUGAGAGAACUUGUUUAUCUUUGAAGACAUACUAUUUAUUCCUAAUUUUAUAGAAUUAUUAUUUUCUCCUCAAAUAUUAACAAAUAGUAUUGAUAUUUUAAUAUAGAUGCAUUCAGCAUUUCACGAUAAUAUAUGAAAUUAUGAUUUUAAUAAAAAAGAAUUUGAUUUUAAUAAAACAUGGACUCCAGCCCACGCCCAAUACUUUUCCCCACUUUUUUCCCUAACAAGGUGAAAUUUGGAACAAAAGCACCAAUAAAGCCCUAUUGUCAUUCCUAAUUACAACGAGAACAUAAAGUGAAGUAUGCAAAAGACCUUACUCGUACAAAGAUCUGCUGUUGCUGAUUAAAGAAAAAAAGAAAAGCUAAAUGCUAGCCUUAUAUAAUCAAUUCUGUACAUAUCAAUGUUAAGGCCACAGAAAUAAUCAUCUGGUAGAACCAAAAGUAAAGCUUGCAGAAAUGCAUACCCCCACGGACGUAUCAUCUUCACCUCUGACUACUCUGCAUUUAGACCCCAAAGGAGCAUCAUCAGGCCUUAUUUCUCCAAGAUCAGGAUAUGAAGCAGCUGAGAAUCGCCAAAAGGGAGCAAAUUCACCCAUUUUUUCCCUUCUCAAUGCAAUCUAUUAAAAAGCAAUUGGUUCAGAAAUUAACAACAAAACCUGCAAGCAGACACAAACUAAUGUAAGUCAAUGAAAAGGACAACUAAAAGACAACCUUUCCGGUUCUUGCUAUUUCUCUGAUUCCAAAUUUUUUUAGGUUUCUCUGAACAGCAACCAUCUUCCCUGGAUCUCCAGUUACCUAAGCCAUUUGCAGAAGAACUUGUCAUUUAGGAAUUUUAUGGCUUCACAAAGACAAUUGAAUUUGAAAAUGCAAUGGAAGUUCAAUUAGUAAAAACACAUUAGAUGCUUAGACAGAAAAAAAAAGACUUGCUGGUGGUGAGCUCAAAAUGUUGUCGAUGAGGUAGAUUUUGCUAACAUGAUCUUAUUAUUCUCAAAAUCAUACUUCACAAUUCCAAAAAAUAAAAUAAAAUAAAAAUUUGCAUCAACCAAAGUUAUUAAUUUUUCCACCCAAAACCCCUGAUGUUAAAGCCAUGACCUCGAUUCCAAACUUAAUAGCAUACUAGACCAUCUUCUUUUAUUCCCUAAUUUCUGUUCAUAACCAAGAAUGUAUCCUUGAAGGCAGCAAUAGCUUCCUAUUAUUGUAGUAACAAGAGCAUCGAGUACAGAAGACAAUAUAAAUUUAGAGGAUAAUAGGAAUAGCCUAUUACAGCUAAGCAUGUGCAAUGGAGUCAUAUUAUCAAGUGAAAUUCAGUAGCAAAUCUAUCUUAUCAUUAUCAAGAAACAGCAUAGUCCUGAUGGUUUUUUUUAAUCCAUAAUUGUCAAAAACACCAGGAAUGUUUAAAUGCUUCUACAAUUAUACGCUUUUGCUCUAUGGUCCCUGAACAACAAUUUUUAUGCAACUGAGUUGCUUGAAUAGUAAAUAUUGUCACGAUGCCAUCUUAGCAGCCAGAUGAGCAACUCCUAGUGUUGAGAGAAAAAAAAGCCGACAAGGAAUCUGGACCACGACCCAAGGAAUCCCUAUUGGAUCUCAAUUAAGGUCCACUCAUAUAACAGACAAAUUAUGAGAUUUAUGUAUCAUGGCUGUAUUUACAUAAUAAGUACAUUUAUAUACCUUCAUAUGCAUUUUUACUCUGUUUACAAACAUGAAUAAAUGUGUUGUGACUUUCUGCCAACGACAAAUUCUCUAUUCCAGUGAAUGUGAUAAACAACAGAAUAAUCUUAGUGGUUAAGUUCAUUUGCUCCAUUUUUUUCAUCAAUCUGACUGAGUUCAAAAUUCAUCACCUCAAUUGUGACUGAGUGCUCUGAGAUAUCCACAAUUUUUGCUCUGAAAAUUUCAACCAACCACUUGAUCUGGAGAUUAAAAGAAAUAAAACGUAACAAGAGUUGAUACAUGUUUGCAUUUGAAAAUUAUGAAGAUCAUUGUCACUCAUCUACCAAAGAAUUACCUCAGCACGAUAAUUAGGAUCUGCAUUCACUUUUAUAAGCAUCAGCUCCCGUUCUACCUGUGGCUCACUGGAGAGAUCUUCAACCUGGCUAUCAAAUUAAACAUAAGAAAUUGAGGAAUUAGAACCUCCCGCUCUUAAUUCUUUAGAUCAAACACUUUACUUUUCAAUAUACUGCUCUUAUAUGUAAAGUGAAAAAUAUAUCUGUGAUAUAAUACUUCUCUCUGAUCGCUUCCAUUGUUGAAAGUGAUUCAGUUACCAAAUUCCAGAUUACUCUACUUUGUUCAAAGGGAAGUAAAUAUGCUUACGUAAAAAACUAAAUGCCAGAAAAAAUCCAAAUUAGAAGCCCUAACAUGAAUGAAAGGUCAAAAGUUUGGAAUCGAGAAUCCUAUAUAAUAUUGCAAGUUGCAACCUUUAAAACAUUGACAAGUUUCUGAAGCUGCUCUACAACUUGUUGUAGCACUUUUUCAGUUCCAGAGACAACAAUGGUGAAAAGGGCCUUAUCCUUGUUCAGACCAACAGCAAGCGACUCAAUAUUAUAUCCCCUUCUCGCAAAAACCCCUGCAAUUCGAUUAAUCAUUCCACUUUCAUCGCCAACAAACACAGAGAUAGUAUGUCUCCUAACCCUGAAGUCACCAAAAAGAGAGAGAAAACGGAAUUAAACACAUCAAAACAACCAGAUGAAGAGAAUUUAAUACUUAUUCAUGACUAUAAAUAAAUUUAUAGGUAAUGUAGCAUCCCAGAUUUACCGUCUUCAUGGUUUAGAUAAUUAAAUUACUUUAGCCAAAUGAAACAAUCAUGUUUCACAACAACCGAAAGCCAAACCUAACAGCCCAUUUUAGAUUUGAGUAAUUGAAUUAAUCAGUUUCAGUCCAAUAAGACACAAAUCAGAAAUCAAAACAUAAGAAAAUUGUACAAAGAGAAGAAGAAAUUGACAUACUUUUUUGAUAAAGUUAUAGAAGAAGAAGAUACACUAGUAGAAAUGUUGUUAUGAUUAUCAGCAGCAGUAGCAGAGACUACGAGCUUCCUUCUACGGUGGUAAUGGUUGGUGGUGCAUGUCGAAAUUGCCAAGGAAGAGGGGGCACCAAAAGCAGAGUUCAAAGCAAAAGCAGAAGCAGAGGGUUUGUGAGUGUGAAUUGUUGUGAAGCUUGUUGAAGAUGUAGCCGCCAUGAGAAUGCAGAAAUAGAGAGAUCAGCACAGCUCGAGAAAUGAAGAAGACGACGCAAAAGCAGGAGAAAUUCACUUGCUACAAAAAAUCAUAUGCGUCAUCAUGCACCUAGCUAAAAUCAGAAGCUGCUAUAGCCGCAGGAUUCUAAAAACUUAGAUUUCCUAAAUUGCCCUUAACCUUUUACAGUUAAAUUCUACUGUAAUAAUAGUAAACACCAUGAAAAAUCGCCUCUAAAACCCUUUCUGCAACUAAACCCGCUACGCUCGUCGUUUCUAUUUGCGGCUCUCUCCCCCUCGGUUCAACGACAACUCGUUGCUCGAUCUACGCAGUUUUCAAAACCUAAAGCUAAACUAACAAAUGCAUCCAUUAUCUUAUUCGUUCCAGUAGCCCGUCGUUCUGUUCUAAUCCGUCUUUUCACUCCGACGGCAACUGCUCUAAAAAACUCUCUCUCGGACACCAUUCCUCUUUCUAGCUCCGCGGAAACCUCUAUAGCAGGUAGAAUUUCGUUUUUUUCUUUCAUUAAUCUCUCUCUUUUGUUUUUUUUAACAAUUUUUAAGUUUGCACUUGCUUGUUAGAGAAAACUCAAUGAGUAAAUUUUAAUUUUUUUAAGGUAAUUUUACUUGGUAUAUCAUAAUCUCUAUUACUUGAUUGUAUUGGAAUUACAUUUAGCUUCAAUGCUUAUUAGUAUAAUUUUUUAUAUACGAAUUAUUAGAUUGUAAUGUGUUUUGAUUAAGGCUCAUGGGUUCUGGAUUUGAUUGUAUAGGAAAUGUUUAGUGGAUUUCCGUGCAAGAUUUGGUAGUCUGAUUAAAAGCACGUAAUCUGUUUGAUGAAAUGCCUCAUAAAGAUAAUGUGUCUUCGAGUAACUUGCUAAUGGGUAUUGAAAUAACUUGAACUUUCUCUGACCACCUGUAAAUACAUGAAUAAAACUAAAAUUUUAAGUCCCAUAAGAACAGGGUUCUUGCCUGGUUACUUCAGGAUUUUCAAUCCUAGUUGAGCUACAUAUAUAUGUGCGUCAAAAUAAAGCUUAUGGAUAUUUGGCCUUUUAGAAAUGCGUGGCAUUCUGUAAUUUUUUAUCUAAAAGAGGACUUAUGUAGUCCUUUGAUUCUUAAUAUGUAUUUGUUUGGCUUGUUUUGGAUUUGAUCGCUAUACAAGGCCAAUGUAUGUAUUCCAUACAUUGAGAUAGUUAAUUUCCGACUUUGAAACCAGUCUUCUUGGCCGUUGAAAUUGCCUUCUAAUUCAAUUUUCUCAUCUCCUUCUUUGUUAUGAUAUUGGUUUUUCCUUUGGUACUAUGUACAAUUGAUAAUAUUAGAACAUACAAAAAAAGUGAUAUGCAAUGGAUGAAGUUAGAAUAUACAAUUGAUGAAAUUGGCUAUAAUUAUGUGAGAUUUUGAGGAUUUUUGAGAUGUCGGGCUUUGAAAAAAGAAAUAGAGAAUUUUAUUAAUAAAUGUAAAUAUUUUUUACUUUUUUCAUUAACCAUCAAAACAUAUUCGAAUUGAAGAUUUCAUACAAUUUUUCAAAAUUUUUAUAAUUUAUUUUGUUCGUGUAGAAAUCAAAAACAUAAAUUUAUUGGGUACUUUUGUAAAUAAAAAUAUAUAUUUUUUAGAAUAUAUCAUUCAUUAAAUAGAUAAUAUAUUUAAAUUUUAAAAAUUAAUGGCUAGGUUAAACCUCAUGAGGUCACUAAAACAUUUCUUGUCUAAAACUCUUCAAACCCAACAUAUGUAAAAAAAUUAAAUAGUUAAUAUUUUAUUGUUUUAUUUAUUUUGAGAAGAAUAUUUUAAUUUUCAAGAAUCAUAUAAUAUAGCUUUAAAAUAACAGAAACUUAUCUGUAUGUUAGAUUAAACCUCACGAUAGUAAUUUAUCAAUAUGGAUUGUUAGAUGCUGUCAUUUUCAACCACUUGAAGAGCCCUAAAACCCUUGUGAACAGUGAUCUUAAAGACGCACCUGAUAGGAAUCAAUGUCUCUAUGGAGAGCUCGUGCUGCUGCAUCUUCUGUCUUGAACAGGCUUCUUCAGCAUUCUUCUUCUCAUUCCUCCAUCAAUAAUGUUCUGCGCAACUUCUCCACUGGUACUUUUUUCUUUUCACCCAAUUUCAAUUUCUCUGCCUAAUACCUAUUCUUCCAAGUUGAGUUUGAUUAUUUGGCAUCUAAUUGAUUGAAUAUGCAUGUUAAGUUUACUGCUGAAAAGGAAAGGUUUUGGUAUUUUGGUGUUUCUUGAGGAAAUGGAGGAAAAGGGAAAAGUUGAAACGAAAAAUUUAAAAGUAACCGCGAUUAACUAUAAUGAAUGAAAAUGCAAGGAUGAAUGAUAGUUUUAUUUCUUUAUUUUAAAGGUUGUAUUUGAUUCAUUUGCUCUUAGAUCACUUAAAAACUGGAAAAAUAAAUAAAAUAGAUGUUCUAUGUUUUCUUCCUUGAUAGAAAAGAAGAUAUUUAGGAACUCGUUGUAUUUUUCUUUGUUUUCUUUUAUCGUGAAUCUUCAUAAGAUGAUAAAAAUGGUUUUAUUGGCGAGUAUUGUCCAAAAUAAUGUUGUUUCAUACUGAAGAGCUUGAUUUCAUUUUCUUAAGAUGUGCUUUUAGCACAAAAUAUGAACUUUCUCACCCUCAUCUAAAAAUUAUUAUGACAGAUGUAGCUGAUACUCCGACAUUGCGGGACAAGAUGAUGAAACAAAUGGUUCAUCUUGAUAUCAAUGCACAAGUAGGAAGUUGCAUGCCGUUGGCUUCUAUGCGCAUUGGAACAUUGAUCCACAAUAUUGAGGUGAACCCAGGUCAAGGUGGGAAGCUGGUUCGAGCUGCAGGAACUUGUGCUAAGAUAUUGAAAGAGCCGACAUCAAAAGAAUGUUUGGUGAAACUGCCUUCAGGUGUUGAAAAAAUGUUCAAUUCUCAGUGCAGGGCCACAAUUGGCAGGGUCUCAAAUGCCACCCAUAAUUCUCGGAAGCUCAGGAAGGCUGGGCAGAGCAGAUGGUUGGGUCGAAGACCAGUAGUUCGAGGAGUGGCAAUGAAUCCAGUUGAUCAUCCUCAUGGUGGAGGUGAGGGUCGGAGCAAAAGUAGUGGGUCUUUUGGGAGAGUGUCACAAACACCAUGGGGCAAGCCAACUAAAUGUGGCAGGAAUCAAGAAAAGAAGCGGAGUGGCAAGUUUGGCCUGUAUCAAGCACCAAAGAACAAACAAAAGAAAGCCAAGAAAUAUAAAGAUCGCAAGCAGGAUGCUGCUUCUAACUGAUCUUUUUUAUUUUGUUCCUUCAUUUUGUAGCACUGGGUUUCGUAUCAGGAAAUUAAUUAUUAGGUCUGCUAUAUACACAUAAAAUGAAGUAUGUUUUUGGAUGACGUUGGUUUAAACUGUUUCAUUAGUUCAAUUUUAAUAUCUGCAUCUUCAUAAAUCCAAAAUCGAUGCACUCUGUAUAUGUGCACACUUGUUGCUGUUAUUUGCAAUUUUGGUUUUUGAAUUCAGCUCUAUUUAAUUACAUAAUGCUGGCUGCUGUAUCUGGUAAUGCAUAAUGUACUCCUUUCACUGUGCUAGUUUACAAAUUACUAACUCUUUAACUUUCAUGGCUGCAUGAUUUGCAGAUGCUCUUGAAUUUGGAUUAGGGAAGCACUUGGGUAAGUGAAACUUAAUUGUUCCUAUACAGAUAUUUGUCUCACAACUUGGUGAAUUGGAGUUUUAAUUAGCUUAGCUAUUAUCUUCACAAUCUAUAGCAUGUAGUAGUAAUUUUAUUAGUUUUUAUCAGGCAAAACACGUUUAACAAGCGUAACUAUGAUUCCAUAUUCUUUUACUUUAGUGAACAAUUAGAACAUGUAUGCAGUUAUGCACAUAUGCUAUGGUAUUAUUCCAUGAAGCUCAGGGAUCUAUGAGCUCGCUUUCACAUAUAAAAUUUUGUCAUUAUGAGCUUGCAAGAAUGAAACCAAACUUUGGCUUUUUUGUUGUAUUAUUGUACCUUUUAUAAGUCCACUUGUCUUAGAUACAUGGUAUCUACUUUAGAUUUGCUCAAAAAAAAAUAUUGGUUUUAAGUCCAUGAAUGUUGGGUGUAACAACAUUUAGAUCGACUGUUGCAAUUUCUUAUGUUUUUCCUUUUUUAGUAUUGGUUGAGCAUUGCAUGUUUGUUGUUACAAGUUUUGGGAUAAUAGUCAAUAGCACACAACUUGAAUCUCUGACACAUUAGAAAAAUCUAUAAAAAUUUUGGUUUGCAAGUUUCAAAUGAUAUGAUCAAAUGAACAAAUUUAUUUUUGAAUUUUACAGCUUUAAUUUUACGGCACUUUGAAUUUUGUGAAUGACCUAUUAUAUAUUUGAACUUUCAAAUUUUGAUAAUAUUGUCUACCUUUUCAUAAGCGACUAUUCCCUAAAUAUACACGUCAUGAUAUUUUAUUUUACAAUUGAAUCAAUUUGAAAAAGACCUAAAGUUAGGGAUUUAUUAAUAGAUUAGAUUAAGGAAAUAGAUUAAGCGAAAUCUAAAAGAAUUCCACAAUUUAGUAUUUAUUUUAUUCAGCAAUAAUAGUAAUAGUUUUUUACUAUUUAAUAUGUGUUUAAUUGAUCUAAUUUGUAAUUUAAAAUAUUCAAUAAAAUAAUUUUACAAGUUGAAGUGCUUAAUAGAUUUAAUUUUAUAAAUUGACAUAUUUAAUGAGUUAAAUUAAAAAUUAAGAGUAUAUUAAAAAACAACAUUCAGGAUUGAAUUUACAAAUAAAUUCAUAAAUUAUUAUUCUAUCCAUUGCGGAUUUCCUAUUACAAUGUUGUAAUAAUAAAAUAAAAAAUGAAUAAAUGAAUAAAUAAAAAGUCGUAAGUGUGUAACAUAUUGAAAUUGGGAUCAUGUUACUGCCGACAUCAUGUUCCAACUGUAGAAAUAAAAUACUCAGUUUUUAAUAGUUUCUUACUUGUAUGAAAUACAAUACCAAAUUCACAAGUAAUCUUGAAUAAAAUUAAUUAUUUUAAUAAUUAUUAUUUUUUUUAAUAAUUGUCAAAUGUUUCAUAAUUCGUUUUUUAAAGCUUUAAACAUUUAUAUCAACAUCACAUCACAAAAUACUAAUAUUUAAUGAUUUGACUUAAUCACUAAACACUGUAUCAAAAAUUAUUUUCAGAUAGAAUUAUAGACGCAAAAUUAUCGAUCUCACACAAAAACAUUAUCCGAUAAAAACUUACAUUUCAAACAAACUAAUAAUAAUGUCACACCAUAUAAAAUAUUUUUCUUUUUUUUUAAUUUUCUUCCUUUAAAAUAAAAUGAUUAUUUCUAAAAUUUAAAAUUAAUUUAUAACGAGAGAUAUAAAAGUAAAAGUAAAUAUUAUCUCUUUAAUCAAUUAGAUAAAUAUUUUAGAACAUCUAAAAAUAAAAAUAAAGAUAAAUAUUUUAGAAUGGAGGGAGUAAAAUUAUUUUUUUAAAUAAGCUUUUUAUUUUUUAUGCAAAUUCAGCGAUAAAGUAUAAAAAAAAUUGAUUUCUAAGUAAAUUUAUAUAUUACUUUUAAAUUCAAUAGACAAAUUGCUAAAUCAAAUACAUCUUUAGCGAUGGCAGUGGAAUAUUCAAAGUGAAAUUAUUAAAAAGAUUAUAUAGAUUUUUUUUUUUUUUUGUUUUUUUAAGGAUGAGAACAAAAAUAUAAAUAUUUAUGUGGGACCCAUGGCCCUCUGACAAAUGAGACUCUACCACGUUUGGAAAUUAAAUAGAGGGAGCGGCAGAGUGGCCACUGCCAGAAGCUAUAUCUAUAGCUAUUAUUUAAAAAUUCAAUUGAUCAUAUUUAUUUAUUUAUUAUUAAGCAAUUAAUUUGACCUAACUGCCCAGUCACGUGGGCCCAUACCAUAUCUUCAUUAUCUGGUUAAGCUGCCAGCUUCCACUUGUUCACAUUAAAGUUGGAGCAAUGUCUCCCUCGCUUGUGCCAGUGCAUGGCAAUGUGGACAAUGUCAUUUCGGUAAAAAAGCAAGGUUACGGGAAAGCGACAUCAUAUUCUCUUGCCUUUUUUAUGUUCCAUAAAACGACAAUAUCGUUUCUUCCAGAUCCUUACCUGCGGAUGCUUAAAACCUAGUUUUGAUAAGUAGCAAUAGGCAUAAUCACGGUUCGGCUCCGUUGGAUUUGGAACGGAAAUUAAAUUUGUCAAAAUUGAAACCCAACUAUAAUUAGAUUCUUAGUUUCAAACUAAAAUCAAAAUUGCAUGUAUAUAAUUUAAUUUCGAUUUGUAAUGAGUGGUUUUAGUUUUAAAUCAUAAAAAAAUUUGUGACAUGAAAAAUUAUUAAAUAAAAUUUUAAUUUAUUAUUUUAUAAUUUUUUUAUUGGAUAAUUAAAAUAGUUGGAAACAAGAUUUAGGUAAGAUGAGAAUUCUCUUAAAUUCAUCAAAUUGAUAAAAAUUUAUGUAGUAGAAAUGUGUCCGAUAUGAGACAUCUCCCUUCUUACAUUAUUAUUAUAAAACAUGAAAAAAAUAUUUAUUAAAUUACUUUAAUAUUUCUUAAUAUUACUAUUUAUUGUUUUUUUAUAUAAAUUAAAAUUAUUUAAUUUUAACUCCAAAUCAAAAGCAAACCAAAUAAAUCAAUCAUUUUAGAUUUCUUUAAAAAUUGCUUUAGAGUUUAGAUUUCGAUUUUACCAUUCUUUAAAUAAAAACCGACAGUUUCAUAAUUUCGUUCAUGCGUAAAUAGUAAUAUUAAAUGCAUAUAUACAUUUAAAAUAUAUAUUCGAUUAUAUUAUAUAAAGAUUUAUAAAACAUAGCGGUGCAUUUAAGAUAAUAUUGAAAUCAUAUUUGAAAUUAUUCCUAACAUUACAUUUUUAUUUUUUAAAAAAUAUGAUUAAAAUUUUAAAAUUCUUCCCGGAUCAUAAAUUAUUAAGUCUUAAGUAUGUAGUUUGUCAAACCUAAUGCCAACAUAGGUAUUUGGUUGGUACUAUUUGUUUGAAGUGUUGCGUAAUCUCAAUGAAAAGAGUUUAUUUUCUACUAACAAGUUGUUACAUUUUCAUUUCCAUGAUAAAUUAAAUUAGUGUACAGAUUACGUGUCAGACUUGCGUAAACUUUACGUUGUCGCCAUUUUUUCUGCAUGUUACUGAAUUUCCGUGAAUUUUUGAGUUCUAUUCUUUCGUUUUUUUUUUUUUUUUAAGGGAAUGCUAAAGAAAGAAAAAUUGCAAAAUGAAAUUUUUAAUGACUAUUUCUUCAUUAAUUAUAAUGAAUUAGGUUGCAAUACAAUGUUCCACAACUUAUAAAAAUUAGAAAAAUUCAUAACUAGGAGUGAAUAUAUUUUGAUUAAAUUAAAAUAAUUUGUUUUUUUAUUUAUCAAAAGGUCGAUAAGUCGAAAUAAUAUUACCUACUACACAAUAUAAGUAACAUUCCCAUGAACUUAUCAAAUUUAUGAAAAUACUUAUGUUUGAGAGAACUCGAACUCAAGACCAACCAAACCACAUCUAAUUGACAUUAAAUAAUUUAAUUUUGUUUAAUUUUUAUUGCAUGUAGUUUGAGUUCGAUUUUAGUAAAAUAGAUAUUUUUUUGAUUUAGUUUGACUUUUGUGAAAUCUUAAAAAUGGAUCCAAAAUUUUCAAAAGAAUAGUUACGGACGUUCUAAAUUUAAUAAAUGAAUCAAUUUAGCCUAUGUUUUUUACACUAUUUAAUUCAAUUUUAAUUUUUAUUUAAAAUUUAAAAUUAAUUUAAUUUGAGUUUCGAUAAUAGCUUUUAAAUUAAUUUUUAGUGUGUUGACCGAUUCAAAACUUUAUUUUUAUUAUUUAUAAUAUUAGAUAACAUAACUUAAUAAUAAUGUCUCUACUUGGUAACAUAUCUUUUAUAAUAAUUUUUAGAGGAUAGAGUGAUGUAUGAAAUAUUAAAUAUGUUUAAAGUUUGACUUUUAAAUUUUAAUUUUUCAUUUUAACUUUUCUUUCCUCUUAUAGUUUAGUUAAAGUCACUAAAAUAGAUAAUAUUACCGAAUAAACCCUACCUAACAACUUUCAAAAAUAACCUAUCUUUAAAAAAAAAAAAUAUUAACCGCGUGAUAGGAUGAGCGAGUUAUGAAACCAUAAAUACCUUUUUAACUUUUAACUUUUCUUUUAUGGUUUAGGUAAAUAAAUACUUUAUUCAUUUUAAAAAUAUAAUACAUUUUUUCUUUUUGUUUUAUUUCAAAAUAUAGUUAUUUUUCUUUUUGUUUGAUAAUUAAUCUUUAAAUUACCUAUUAUAUCAUUAUUAAAUUUAAUUUUAUUUUUAAUAAUCCUCGUUAAUUCUUAUAUAUUAUUCUAAUAUAAUAAUUUUUCAUGUAUUAUUUAAAAUGAGUAUAAUAAAAAAAUUAUACAAAUAAAUUAAUUGCUAUUUUCUUAACGUGUAUAAAUAUAUAAAGUAAAUUAUAUUAUCGAAUUGCCCCUAUCUAACAACUUCCAAAAAUAACCAUCUUAAAAAAAAAAAAAAGGUAUUAACCGCAUAAUAGAAGACCGUAUCCGUGUUUUUUAUACAGGCAGCGUACACGCGCAUGCACUGGAUAAAAUAAAAAUUAAAAUUAUAACGGCUUUUUCCUCAGAAUCGACAAAUUGUUCUCUCCCUCUCUUUCUCCUUCUCUCCUGUCGCUCCCUUUCCCUUUCCCUUGCGCUUCGCUCGGAUCCCGAAAACCAUCCAUCCAUUCCAUCAUUCAUUUCUUUUCCCUUGUAACUCACUUCGUUCUUUUCCCCUUUUCUUUCCUCUCUCUUUCCCUCGCUCGAUAUCGAGAGCUUAACUCUCCUCUCCCGAGUCGCUCUCGAUCCAUCGAGCAACCAAACCAGACAUAACGAGAGAGAGAAAAGAGAGAGCAAAAGAAAACGAAAAUAAUCAAAACAAAAACGAUACAUAACAGUAACAAUAAUUUAAAAAAUGGAAGGAAUCACUACGCAGUUACGGAGAGGAAUCUCGCGGCAGUUCUCAACCGGGUCGUUGAGGAAGUCUUUCAGCCGACAAUUCUCACGGCAGUCGUCACUUGAUCCGAGGAGGAAUAAUUUGAGAUUUAGCUUUGGAAGACAAUCUUCACUCGAUCCUAUACGGCGGAGUCCUGUUCACGAUGAACAGUUUACAGUGCCGGACAAUCUUGACUCUACGAUGCAGCUUUUGUUUAUGGCGUGUAGAGGAGAUGUGAGAGGGGUUGAGGAUUUGUUGAAUGAAGGAAUUGAUGUUAAUAGUAUUGAUUUGGAUGGAAGGACUGCUUUGCAUAUUGCUGCUUGUGAAGGACACGUAGAGGUUGUCAAGUUGUUAUUGACUAGAAAGGCUAAUAUUGAUGCUCGUGAUCGCUGGGGGAGUACGGUAAUAUAUAUAUAUAUAUAUAUAUAUAUACACACAUUUCUUUUCCUUUUUUGGUCUAGUUUGGUCAGAAGGAAAUUAAAAACCUGGAAACGAAUUCCAAUUUUGAGUUUAAUUAUGUGAAAAAGUGGAAAUUGGAAUGUAACGUUUGGUCAAUCAUUUCUAAUGUUAUAUCUUCAAUAUGUUUAUAUAUAUUCUAUAUGAUUUUUGUUUGAACAGGCGUGUGCCGAUGCUAAGUACUACGGCAAUAUAGAUGUGUACAAUAUUUUGAAGGCUCGAGGAGCUAAAGCUCCGGUAUAACAUGAAUUUCAUUUCUUUUUUCCUUUUUGAGCAUAUGUACUUAUUUAUUAUUUUGAAAAUGAGAGGGAUUGAUUGCUCACGUAUUUAUCAAUAUUUUAGAAAACCAGGAAGACGCCAAUGACUGUUGCGAAUCCUCGAGAAGUUCCAGAGUAUGAGCUUAAUCCAUUAGAGUUGCAGGUUCGGAAGGCUGAUGGCAUCUCAAAGGUAUAGUCUUAUAUUAUUCCCUUCAAGAUUCCAGUAAAAUUAUGCUUGUUUGGGGCAAGUUGUGUAAUGGGCGCUUUUCAAAAAUCAAUGAUAAAUGAUGAUUCAAAGACUUCUGAGGCCUCCCUUUCUUUUACAACUGAUAAUAGAACUAAUUACUAAUCCUUCUUUAUUUUGGAAUUAUUUCUCUUCUAGGAGGCAAGAUGCUUUGCCUAGCUAUCUAGAUGAGCAUGCAUUUCUUUUUUGUGCAGAUAUAAUGACAGAUAAGGGUUGCCUUUCCUGUUUGACAUACAUAGCUUGUGACUAAGAGAAUGUCUAUUCUGUAAUAUGUAGUUGUUAAUAUCAAGUUCGCUUUAUUGAGUAAUUUGUUCAUGUUUUUAUUCAUUCACAGUUAGUAUUUCUUGUCUGCUUUUUUUUUUUUUUUUUUUUUAAUGGUUGGAAUUAUUCAAUAAUAUCAUGAUAUUGUUUUGUUUGAACUUAGCUGUGCUUGCAAGAAGAUGCCGCUCAGCAAUUUGUAUUUUAAAUAUAUAAUAUACUGUUUCUGCUUUUAGUUUAUCUCAUGUGUUCCUUUGUGUUCUACUGGAGUUGUGAUGCUGCAUUGACUUUGGGAUUAAGCUGUUUAAUCAUUUGAAAACUUAGAUUAAUAUGUUUAAUUAUAAGAAAAAAAAAUUAUUAUAACCACUUGCUUUUUUUUCCCAUAGUUUUUUCACAAUUUUAUUUCUUGUUUAGUAUUCUUGUAGGUUAAAAAGGCCUUAAUUUUCUGUUGAAACAAGAGAAUAGGCUUGAUUUUUUUCUUUAAAACUAUGGCCUUUUUUGUGUAUGACGAAAAGAAAGGAAAUUCCAAAGGUCUCUCCUUUGAAUAAUUACAGCUACUUAACCUGUAAAGUAUUGAUGUAUAUUUUCUGCAGCAGGGAAGUGAUUUUUGUAAUUCUUUGCUUGAUGUUCUAUCAGAAUUACUAAUGGAUAUUUUUUAUACAGGGAACAUAUCAAGUGGCCAAAUGGAAUGGUACCAAGGUUACUGUAAAGAUACUUGAUAAGGACAGCUAUUCAGACCCUGAGAGCAUGUAUGUUCUCACUUUUCUAGUUUCUUCUUCUUUCUUCUUUCUUCUUUCUUCUUUCUUUUUUUUUUCUUUCAGGACUGGAUAUGCUUUGGUUUCUGAUAUUAGCAAUUAAUAUCACCAUAUAUAUUUAUUUCCUAUACAGAAUUCGGUAUAUAUAUGCUUGCAGUAAUUAGACUUGCCUAUCCUUUUUAUUUUGAUGAAAUUUCUGUAUACUAGACUUUGUUUCAUGUCCAUACAGCCCUGUUGCAAAUACAACUCAAUUUUUUUACAUGUUUUAUUGCUAUUAUUAUGUUUGACUGGGGAAUAUGGGAUAUCCUUUAAGCACUUCCUGCUUAUUAAUAUGUUCUCUACAUGAGGCACCAUCUUGUCUUUUAAGUUCGUUCAUGAUACGGAGAGAACCCUUUUUAUUUUUGAGUUCGUCUAAAAACUCAUGAUCUGGGAUAUUCCUGGAAGCAAGUACUAGCUAACUGUAGAUUCAAGAUAUUAUGAAUGUUCAAUAGCAUGCAAGAGUCAAAGGAAAUCCCAGGUGGUGGUCAUAGGUUGAAAGUGAGGCACUUCUAUUUAUUUACCUUGUAAUGGAAUCUCGUGAUCUACAACUUGAUAAUCCUUUGUAGUUUCAAUUAAGAUGGCAGUUUCCAUCAUCAACUUGUCAUUAGUUUCUAUUGAAAAAUGUGUAUAUUUUCAUCAUGAUCUUUUCCUUUACUUGGACUAGCACACCAAGUAUUUUCUUCAGUUCAUGUCAAAUAAUGUAAUGUUUAUUGAUAUCAGUAACAGUACCUAUUGUUGUCUUAUUUUAGCAUCUUACAAUUGCAGUUCACUUUCCUUAGGUGAUGGACAUACUUUUUAACCUUUUCUUUUUAGUUUCUUUGUCUGAUGUGUUUUGCUUGAGUUUGCUAUUUGAAUUAACAUCAAUUAUAUUCCAUGCUCGCCUUCAAGUUAAUAAUGCUAGUAAUAUAUUUUGUAAUAAGGUACACUAAAUUAUUGCCAGAUGAAGUGUUGGCAGUUGAAAGUUUGUAUCAUUCCACAUAAUCAACGUUAUUGUCUCCAUUUUGAGUACUAUUAUGGCUGCUAGAAUUCCUUUACAGUUACUUAUUUGGGAUUUCAUGUUCCAAGAAAUUGUGGAAUUUAUUGUUCAGGACUUUAACACUUCUCUCAUUAUUCUCUCUCUCUCUUCUUUCUCUUUUCUUUUUCCUCUUCUGUGUAACAGAAAUGCUUUCAAACAUGAGCUGACCUUAUUAGAGAAGGUAAGGCAUCCCAAUGUUGUUCAGUUUGUAGGCGCCGUUACCCAAAAUAUACCCAUGAUGAUUGUUUCUGAGUAUCAUGCAAAAGUAAGCAUCUCUCUCUCUCUCUCUCUCUCUCUCUCUCUCACCGGGUACUAUGUGAUGUAUUACAAUAAAAACUGAAAAAUCCAAUAUGUCCAGAAGUUCAGGUAUGAGGAGGUUUCCUAUUAACAAAUCGUAUAGCAGUUUACAGCUUGAUGAUAUACCAGACUCUUAUUCAUUUUUUGUAUCUUCAAUUAAACCAUUGCUUUCAUUUUCAAUCGUUUUGAAAUUUGCAUUCCUUUGUUUUUCAAAUUUCCUGAUAGAAAUCAUCUGGAUUUGAUUUGUUGAAUUAGAUCCAUCAUAGAUGUCUUUCACUGCAGUUUCUUCCUUAGUCUGGUUACACAAGGGAAAUGUUGUAGCGCAGUAGCAGGCAGUGCAGCACUUUGAUUGAAUGAAUUUGAGUCUUAAUUUUAACAGUAUGUUUUGCAUAUUUCAGGGUGACUUAGCAGGCUAUCUUCAGAAGAAAGGGCGUUUUUCUCCAUCCAAAGCUUUGAGAUUCUCUCUUGACAUUGCUAGGCACGUUCAACUCUUUAGAAUAAAAGUUCAUGUUUUCUUAUCUAAUGAAUUUAGAAUAAUUGCUGCACUAUUACACCAACAGAUAGAUAUAGUUAAUAAUGCUUUCAAGUCCUUGUCCAAUUUUAUACUUCUCUCAUUUGUCUCCAGCUUGAUGAUUUUUAAGAUGACUUGAUCUCUUGAUAUCAGGGGCAUGAACUAUCUUCAUGAAUGCAAACCAGAUCCAAUCAUACAUUGUGAUUUAAAGCCGAAGUAAGACAACCAAAUGAAGAAGUUAAUAUUGCAUGAGAUUCUGUUAUUAGACAUUUGGACGUGCACUUCUUUAAUAUUUGAAAUUUUGGUAAGGUGCCAGAAAUAUUUUGCUGGAUAAUGGUGGUCAUUUGAAGGUAGCUGGGUUUGGUUUGAUAAGGUUGUCUAAGAUUUCACCUGACAAAGCUAAAGUAGCACCAGGGACCCCCAUUGAUCCUUCAAGUAAGCGCUUCUAGUGCAAAAUCCAUUAUUGUAUAGGAUAUUUCUUGUACUUUGCACCUAUAACAUCCGCUUUCAAGAUAAAGUUUAAAGCAGAACCAAUUCAUGAUUUGUUAGGAUUUUUUGUGACUCCUUACCAAUCUAAUCCCAUAAAGUGCAAUUUAUGUUAUACUUGUAAUAGUGUUCUUUUAUUAAUUUGCAGAUAUUUAUAUGGCGCCUGAGAUUUAUCAAGGGGAAAUAUUUGAUAGAAGCGUGGAUGCAUAUUCUUUUGGUAUCAUCGUAUAUGAGGUAGAUUUCUUUUCUUAAAUUAUCUUAUACAAUAGCAGCCAACAAGUUGAUGCAACUCCAUGAAGUCUAAUUAGGACAUCUGUAUCUGAUUUGUCAUAUAAGCAUUAAGGCAACAAUGGUUUAGUGGUAAGAAGCACGUGUAAAUACUAAAUACUUCUUCCCCCUUUUUGUAUUUUGUCCGCACUUAGAUGAUGGAGGGAGUAUUGCCUUUCCAUCCCAAGUCUCCUGAAGAGGCUUUCAGGUUGAUGUGUUUGGAGAAACAAAGACCAGCUUUCAAGACAAAAGCAAGAAGUUAUCCUCCUGAUCUAAAAGAGUAAGUUUAGUUUUUCAGUAAGAUAUCAUAUUUGCUAUGGCCUGUUACUCUUUUGCAGGUUGAACAGAAGUUAAUAGAAUAAGAUGAGUAUAAAACUGUACUAGGGAUAUUGUUUACUUGGAAAGGAUUCUUAAAUGGAAUUAAGUUAGUAACAAUUCUUACAAUUCUAGGUUCGUGGGGUUGAUUUUUCCCAUUGCCUUAAGAACUUUAAGAAAGGUCACAAUAUAAAGGUUUUUUUUCAAAGCAUCAUCUGGUUGUCCAAGCCUCUUAAUUCCUUCUAUUUAUGUGCAUAUGUUACUUAUAUUAUAAGAAUAUGAUGAAACAUGCGAUUUGGAUGUAAUCUUUGCUACAUUCAGGUUGAUCGAUGAAUGCUGGCAUCCGGAACCUGUUGCUAGGCCAACCUUUUCCGAAAUCAUUGUACGAUUGAACAGAAUAGUUGUCAACUGUUCAAAACACGGAUGGUGGAAGGACACUUUUAAGCUUCCUUGGUAUGUUUCUCCUACUAAAUCUGUUUGAAGUGGCAAUGUUUUUCCUUUUAUUAGAAACAAAAGAAGCCAUGCCAAGGUUCUUGGCAUAGACCUUCUACAUAAAGUAGUUUAGCAUUUUUGGAGGGUUAUCUGUAUGUUAAUACAUACAUAUAUGGACAGAAUAGUUGUCACCCUUUUUGGGGUCAUGUGCAGGAUAUAAGAGGCAUUCACUUCCAUUUGAAGAAUCAAAAGUAGGGUAAAGUUGGAAAAAUCUCCAUCAGCUUCGACAGUUUGAAAGCUUAAUGUACAAUAUCCUAAUUAUAAACCAAAUGAAAAAUGAAACUCGGGAGAUUAAAUUGGAAUGAAAAUGAAAUCGAGGUUGUAUAAUAUGUGCAAAUACUUAUCUUUUGAUAAUUGAUUUUCACACGUAGAGCCCGUUUGGAUCAAAUGAAUUUCAUAAAAUCUUAUAGAAUUCAUUUGGAAAUCCAAAGUUUUGUGUUUGGAAUGACAAAAAAUACAUGUUUGAAUUCUACGAAUUGAACUCUGUAGAAUUUGGUACGUCUAACUUAAAUUUUACUGAAAAUCCGUUUGGAACAAAUGAAUUCUAUAAAAUUUUAUAGAAUUCAUUUGGAAAUCCAAAGUUUUGUGUUUUGCAUGACAAGAAAUAGAGGUUUGAAUUAUACGAAUUGAAUUCUGUAGAAUUGGGUUUGCUUAAAUCAUAUUCUACUAAAAUUGAUGGAAUUUUUAAAUGAAUUCCAUAAAAUUGAACCAUUGAGGGAUUUAUUGACAAAAUUACUUAAUUUUUUUCUUUUUUAAAUCUAGUAAUAACGUAGUUAUUACAAUGAAACUAUGAAAACUGAGUAUCACAAUGAAACUAUGAAAACUGGGUAUCAAUAAUCGUUUUCAAAUGCAAUUAAAAACUGUAUUAAACUUCUUACAUAGUUUUUUUAGUUUCCAAAUUAAUUACUUGAAUCAACAAGACUUUUUACAUUAAUUAAAAAUAAUUUUAUGAUGAAUGCUACUAGUUAUAUGAAGUUAUUAUAUUAAAUAUAAUUAGUGUUUGUUAUUUAUUUUUGUUAAGUUAUCAUGUCAAUGGUAUUAUAAGAAAUAAAAAUAAAUAAAUUUUCAUUUAAGAAUUUAUUUUAAAUAUAAUUUUAUAGAAUUCAAUUGAACUCCGCAUUUUAAAUUAUGACGUACUAAAUAUGAGAAUCUUAUUUAUAAAUGAAUUUUACAUUUACGGUUCAUUUGUUCCAAAUAUAAUGAUAAAUUACAAAUUUGAUUUACCAAUUGAAAUGAAAAGAUAUAUUUAUUUGCCAUGGAAGUACAAUACCAUGCAAAUGAUUUUCUACGCAUCUUCUUCUAACAUUCAUCUGUUCUGGUUGGUUCUUGUCUUUUUUGAACUGGAUUGUUUGAUUGUUGGGCCAACAUCUUAAAUUUAUCUCUUAAAAUUGUCUAAUUCUUUUCAUAUUUGUAACAGUAAAGUAACUAAGGCCGGAAGGGAUAUUGGACAGCUGAUGUGGCUAGGCGGAGUAAGUAGAAGAUAUUAAGACGUCAGGUCAGCCGCCCAUAUGUCAAUUACAUAUUUUUUUCUCUCCCCUUUUUUCUCUAUCAUGCUGCCGCUGUCCUACUUAAUGCAUUAGGGGCGUUACAAAUAAGUCAUAAUACCAUAAUACGGUUCUCUUAAAUGCAAAAUAAAUGGAUUAAGAUUAAAACUAAAUGACUAUGUAUUAUAAAUAAGUCUUUUGUCUGUUUAUGGCACGAAAAUAAAUAUAUUAUAUUGUUAAUUGACACGAGUGUUAGGUUUAUGGCACGAAAAUAAAUAUAUAGUAUUACUGAUUGAUAUUGAGUGAUUCCUUUAAAAGUAAAAAUAAUUUUAUAUAGUUUUUUAGUGUAAAAUUUUUGGCCCAACCACAGACUCCUACCACUAAGAAAAAUUUUAACUUGGUGGCUGCCAUUUAACAGUGAAUGGCGUGACUGGAGCAUUAUAGCACAUCGAAGACAACUUGACAACUCGCCAUUCUUGAAGCUCUUGAAACAUUGCCACGCGACCAUUACGGCCUUUUGAAGCUGUUGCCUGUCAAUCUACCUUGUAUAAUAGUGAACCACUUUGUGAAAAUUGACACAGCUCCCCACUAACCCACCUGAGACUGAAUCCAGCACAGUCUUGCAGACGGACAAGCCACUGGACAAUGGAGGACCGUUUUCGGUUCGCGAAAGCACACACUGGAAGAACAUUACUCGGAGCUCGCCACAAAAAAAUUCAACACUUUAGGCGGUAACAAGAACUUCCAAAUAGAUUUCCAUAACUGUUGAAGUAAAAUGGAAGCAUUAGGGAGUUGGUUGUAAAGCACUUUAUACCCAUUUUUGACUGUAUAGAUUCCUUUAGCAUCCUCCUGCCACAUCCAAGUGUCAUCAAGUAAUGAAGAACAUGUGCAUUUUAUUCAUGAAGAUGUAUUUUUAAGUGUGAUUGAGUUAAAUGGAUUACAAAUAUCCUCCGGCCAGUUCAAUUUAUUGCUAUUUCUUUAAAAUUCAUUAUAUAUAUAUAUAUAUAUAUAUAUAUAUAUAUAUAAUUUUUCACAUAAUAAGUAAAUGUUUAUAAUAUGUGUGUUUUUAUGUUUAAAAAUUUAAUCAUCCAAUUAACAUUUAAUAUUAAAUUUAUUCUCUACUAAAAAAAAAAAAAAAAAAACAUAACAUGGUUUAUUGUCUACGUAUAUAUAUUUAUUGAAUUAUAGAUUUUAGACUUUAUUAAAGAAAAAAGGAGACAUGAAAAAUAUAAUGGCAGAUAAUUUUUAAUAAUUUAAUAAUUUUUUAAUAUUAGUUGAUUAAUUAAUUAAUUAAUUAAAUAACUCAAAAUUAUAUUUUUAAAAAUUUUAAUUAUUAAUCCUAAACCAAUGGCAUUAUAAAAUUUAUUAUAUUUGAAAAUUAAAUAAAUUAAUACCCUAUGAAAAUUAUAUUUGAAAAUUUAAUAAAUUAAUACCCAAUUUGUUUAACCAGUAAAUUGCAAAUAUGUAUUUUAUACAGUUGAAACAAACCUGCAACUACGUGAAAACCAAUUGGAAAUCGAACACAAAAACCAUGAUUUGAACCGAACCAAACUCGAUUUGAACCAAAUCAUUCACAAAAACCUAACCAAGCAAAUUCUAGAAACCCAUCUUUCCCCUUUAGCGCCGACUUAAGCCCUCCCCCUUGCUUUUUCUUUUCGUUUUCCCGAUCGCCUGAGACCAGAACCGCCUCCUUCCGCCGCCGCCGCUCCCAUGCCGCUCUCUCUCCCUCUCCUCUGCCAUUUCAGGCUAGCGAAGCUAGUGCAGUUGUCGCAGGAAGAGCUGCGACUUUGCUUCGUUCGGGAAAUCACGUUGCAGCUCCCCUCUCGACUUUUCGGCGACUCCAGUCUGUCUCAACGACGACAAAGCUCCGAUCCCUUCCUUUCUCGUUUCUCUCUUCUGUUUCGACUGGCGCAGCAAAACGAGGAGCUGCUAUCGCGAUCUGUUGCGUUUGGUACCGCCGACUCGUCGCUUCUCUGCUCCUCCGGUGAAACCAGUGAAAUUGGUUGGAUGGUGUGUAAUCUAAGAUUAUAGUGUAGAAGAACUUUGAAUUUUUGUUUUGGCAGCAAUAUCAUGUGACAUUGAGUUGUUGUAGAAACACUAAUAUAUAAAUGAGUGUAUUUUCAAGUUUUCGUAUUGGUUGAUGUAUAUAAAGAUUUAUUUAUAUUUAAUAAGACGAUUAAAAUGGGAUUGUUAGCCAUUAUCAUUUUUUAUGAAGACGAUGCUUCGUGAAUCGGUAAAUGGAUUACAAAAUCAUAGUUAAUGGUGAAGGAAAUAAAAGAUAGUUAUACUAGUCGGAUCUAAGGUUAAACUAAUAUUAAUUUUCAUUUAUUUAUUUAUUUGCUUAUUUAUUUAACCUUGUGUAGUAACAAAUAAAGUUAGUAUUGGAGCUUAAAUAUUGAUAUUGUUAUUUUGAAGGAGGAUGAAAAUUUGACUUUAUUGAUUGUCGAGCUAUCUGAAUUGAAUGAAAAUCUAAUGAAAUUAUUGAUAUUUAAAUAAGGGGAUUGUUCAAUUUUUAGAGGAGAUAUUACCGAAAUUUCGAUAGAAUCUAGUCUAGUUAUUGCAAUUAGAUACGUAGAUAAUUCAUUACAUUAAUUCCAUAAUCUUUUUUUAUUUUAAUUAGACGAAGUCUGAUGCUAUUCUUUUCUUGUAUUUUUAAAUUUUUUAGAUCGUCCAGGCUUUUCUAUUACUCCUCCUAAUCAAAAUCCGAGUUAGAGCUUCUUCUAUUCUCUACCUGAGUAAUAAUAAAUAGUGGAUAUCAUAAUUGCAUACACAUAUUAUUUAUUAUAUAUAUAUAUAUGUAUUUUUAAAAAUAAUUUAAUAAAUUUUAUCAAAUCAACUAAUAAAAUGUACUCAAAUUUCAUUAAGGGGUUAUUGGUCCCUUAAAAAUAAAUAGAUUAUAAGUUAUAGACUAGAUAUAGAUAAAUCGAGACUUACACCAUGUUUGGAACAAACAAAUUAUGAAUAUAAAAUUUAUGUUUAAAUAAAUUCCAUGUAGAAUUGAUUUAUAAAUAAAUUUUUCAUGUUUGAUAUAUUAUAAUUUAAAAUAAGAAAUUCAAUUGAAUUCUAUAAAAUUAUGUUUAGAAUAAAUUUUUAAAUAAAAAUUCAUUUAUCUUUAUUUCUUAUAAUACCCUUGACAUAAUAAUUUAAUAAAAAUAAAUAAAAAACACCAAUUAUAUUUAUUAUAUAUAAUAUAAUAAUUUAUUAUUUUUUAAUUAAUUAUAUACGUAUUUACAUUCAUCAUAAUAAUUGUUUUAAUUGUUAAAAGUCUUAUUGAUUUAAUUAAUUAAUACGAAAACUACAAAAAUAUUUUAAAAAUUAUUACUGUUUUCAAUUGAAUUUGGCAACAAUUAUUGAUAGUCAAUUUUUAUAGUUUCAUAAUAAUAAUCAUGUCGGUAGAAAAUUAACGUUUAUUACUAGAUUACAAAAAAAAAAAAAAAUUAUCGUUAUUACCAGUAACUAAAAGGAAAAAAAAAAAAGUAAAAAUAUAAAAUCUUGGUAGGAAUUUUCAAUUUUUGUACUAGUUAUUACUAAUCUAUCUAUUUAUCUAUAUCUAUACUAUAUAUAAAUGUGGAAAUAUGGGAGAAUAAUAGAAUUUUUAAUAUUGUCCUCAAUAAAAUUUAGAAUAUCUUAAAAUAAUCUUAGUCAUAGCCAAUUCAAAAAUUACAUUUUUAUACGAACGAGUAUUUGGAUGAGUGGUUCAACACUCUUCUCUCUCAGAUAAGGUUGAGGUUUCGAUCCACAUGCAUGGAGCAAAUACUUACGAGCAUGAUUUAGUUCUAACUUAGUGGACUUGGGAUAUCUGUGGUUAAGACGAAAAAAGAAAAAUUAUAUUUUAUUAUUUAAUUGUAUAAUUUCUAAAAAUUAUUUUUAAAUAAAUAAAUAUAUAUAAUAAAAAGGAAAAAGUAUGUUCUUCUUUUUUUUGUAUGUUUGUAUGAAAAAUUGUAAGUUUAUUUCGAGAGGAUCUAAUGUUUCUUUUAUCUAAUCUUUUUUUUAUUACUUAAUUAACUUAUUUAUUUAUUUUAAAUUUGCAACUUAGAACAAUAGAGAAAUAAAAUAAUUGAAUAAACUCAUUAACUAACCAAUAUUGGAUACUAGCAUGAUUUGCGUUGUACUUUUCCUUUAUUGACUUAACUUUUUUUUUUUUUUUGUCCAUCAAAAUCAAAUUUAAUUAAAUUAUAGCAUUUCCAAAGUUAUUUUUGAAAUUGAAAUUGGUAAUUUUUUUAAUAUAAUUUAUUUCUUGUUAUAUAUUGAAUUCUUAAAAGAGUUUUAUUUUUAAUAAAAAUUUGUUACUUUUAUUUUCUUUUUUUGUUAUUGAAUUAAUUAGUAACUACUAUCACUUUAAUUUAGUAAGAGAUUUAUAUCUACAUUGCAAUAAAUAGAUGGCCUCUUGAUUAAAUAUUUUUAAUUUUCUUGAUAUUUUUUCUUUUAUAUCCUAAAUAUAUUUGACUUGAAAAAAAAAAUUUAUGAAAUUGAAAAAAAUUAAAACUGUAUAUUUUUAUUUUCGGUCAUUUUUUUGGAUUUCAAGAGUUUGUGUGUAUGUUCAUAUAUUCCUUUCUCGAAUGCACUGAGUAAGUAAUACUAUCAUUAUAGCCAAAAUGAUUACCAUUAUUAAUUCAUAUCAUUUUCUUAAUUUUCAUUAUAGCUGUAUAUAGAUAUUGGUUUGGGAUUAAACGCAAUGGUUAGAGACUGAGUGAUAGCUUAAUUUUCUUUUUGAACACUUAUCAGAGUUUUAAGAAUUUGUAUUUAUAAGUUAGGGACUGAAUGAUUAGGUAUAAGGAUUUGAUUUAACUUUGUUUAGAGACCAUCUCAUGAUAUGAAAAUAGAAUCAAAUACAUAAGAAAUAACAUUGCAAGUAGCUUAUAUGGUAAAAUCUAAUACAAAUUAACCAAUUGUAUUUAUUGUAAUCUAAAUAAAAAUUUAUGCUUUAAUAAAUAAAAAAUUAAAAGAGUAUAAAAAAUAAAAAUAUAACGAGCAUUAUUAACGUGUAACACACGUCAUAAAAAAGAGUAGUGAAUUCAAAAAUAUAAAACAUUAUUACUAGUUAUUACCAGAUUUCAAGAAAAAAAAAAGAACGUUAGUGGGAAUUUUCUAAGAAAAAGAAAAGAAAAAAAGAGUAAAAACAAUUGAAUUUAUAGUUGAAGGUAAUUUUGUCAAUGAAAAUUUCAAUGACUUAGUUUCGUGGAAUUCAUUUUAAAAUUUCAUCAAAUGGAAUUUGAGUUAAGCAUACCCGAAUAAUUCAAUUCAUAGAAUUAAAAUUGAUAUCUUUUCUCAUUUUAAAUACAAAAUUUUAAAUUUUUAAAUUUUUAAAUGAAUUCCAUAAAAUUUUAUAGAAUUGAUUGAUCAAACGUAUUGUUAAAUUUUUAUAUAUAAAAUUGUAAUAAUAAAAAAUUAUGUCUGUGAUAUCUGAUAAGAGAGUCCUGACACGGUGGUUUAUAAACAAAACAAUAAAAAAUUGUGAAAGAAUAAUAAAAAGUUAAAAGGAAUAGUUUGAAGUUAUUUUUAUCAUUAACACAGUAAAAAACAUAUAUAUAUUUUUAAACCGCUAUUGGUCCAACAGUUCUUUCGCAACAUCUCUAGACCCCACAUUGUCAAACACUCUAAUCGAACGGCUACUACCAACUUAUAAUCAUGCAGCUCCGUCACACAUGAACUUACCCCUUCCCCAUCCCCUUCUUAAACCCCUUCCCCCAGGUUCCCAUCCUUUCUAAUGUAAAGACCGCUGCCUAAGUACCGGUCUUAUUUUUUUUUAAUAUUUCCUUUCCUAAUUCACUCCAGGUGGAUUUCUCUUUCGACUCAAAACUGUAGGCAUGUUCUAUAUUAAGGUUUUGGCAUUGUUUGGUUAGCGGGAAAAUCUAUUCUACACCAUAUGCUUUGCUCUCUAUUUUUUUUUUUCAAAAUUUUCUUGUGUCUUUUUCUUAUGAUUUUCACGUUCCUAUGUUUUCUUUUUGUUGGUUGGUUGGAUGAAGGAUAGUAUGCGGCGGAAUUGAUUUUGCUUCAAAUAUGCCAUGUUUGUUGCGCUCUGUUUUUCAAACUCUAAUGAAAUUAUUUGUUUUGAAUAUAUUUAAGUAUAUUGUACGGCUUUCUGAGUGAUAUAUAUGUUUGUGUGUGUGUGUGUGUGUGUGUGUAUAUAUAUAUAUAUAUAUACAUUUACUGAGCCAUCAUAAGCUCUUUAAUUCUCUCCUUUGUGAAGUGAAUUGAAAAUUGUUUAUGAAGUUCGACAAUGCUUUAGUUGUUGAUAGUUUAAUUUAGGACAUAUAUGUUUUGUUGUUUUUCUUUUUUUCUUUUUAUAAAUUCUUCUGUGAAUCUGUUGUGUGCCAGCAUAAUUGAGUAUGCGAUUGCAGUUUUCUUGAAGAGGGGGAAUAUCUGAAAAAUGGCUUCCAGAGCAAUUUUGAGACGGAAAAGAUUCAUUUUUGAUUAUUUGAAUAUCAACAUUCGCUCAAUUCAGACCAUCCAAUCUCUUGGACAUGCUGCUCAGAAUUUGGAUCCAAGCAGCUGUAGCUAUAUUGCUAACCAAUCCUCUUCAAAUUUUAAUUAUGUAAAGGAACCCCAAAGAAAUAUAGUGGGAAGAGUUGAAUUACUUGGCUUUACAGGUGUAGGACAGUUCAGGCAUAAGUUUUAUAGUACUGCCGUUUCAGGUCCUGGAUAUGUGCGGUCAGAGUUUUUUUGUCCAAUAAGGUCAAUUUCAGUUUCUGUUCGCAAUGCAUCCACUGCAACAGCAAAGCAACCUGAUUUGGGCAGUGAUGAUGAGGGAAAUGAAGAAAUAGCUGCUAGAAAAAGAAAGGAAGCAUCUCCUGAAGAAUGUGAUCAAGCUGUUGAAGGUUUGAGUACUGCAAAGGCCAAAGCAAAAGCCAAACGUUUGCAUGAAUCUCAAAAUUCUGUUAAAUUCAUUUUACAAAGAACAUGGGCCAUGCUUCUGGGGAUUGGUCCUGCUUUAAGGGCUGUAACUUCUAUGAGCAGGUUAAAAACUUUACCUCUGGGAUGUUUUAUCAUUACUGUCUGCAGGUUGUAUAUUUUCAAAUUGUUUGCUUAUUUGCUAUUCAUUCUCCAGGGAGGAUUGGGGAAAGAAACUCACUCACUUGAAACAUGAAUUUGUUUCAACAUUGAAACAUUACUGGUUAGGAUUUAAGCUUCUAUGGGCUGAUGUGAGGAUCAGUUCAAGAUUGCUAUUCAAACUUGCUGGUGGGAAGAGUCUAUCAAGAAGGGAGAGACAACAGCUAACUCGUACCACUGCAGACAUUUUUAGAUUAGUCCCCUUUGCUGUUUUUAUAAUUGUUCCAUUCAUGGAAUUUCUGCUACCCGUAUUCCUGAAACUAUUCCCCAACAUGUUGCCAUCAACCUUUCAGGAUAAGAUGAAGGAACAGGUACAUAUUUUGAUGGUCAAUCACCUUUUAUUGUAGUUUUUAACUUGUUUCUCUUCUUCUCCUUCAGUGGUUGAGUCUGGCAGUCUUAUUUGGCUUUGUUGGAGAAUGAAAUGAGGUCAUUUUUAUAGUACAUUGCAUGCUCAAAAGUCAAAUCAUAUAGAAUGGAACAUUCUUAUGUUGGGGCGUCACUAUUAUAUAUAAUCUUAUGACCUGUGUUGUGAAUGCAUUUGCCGAUAACAACACACAUUAUGCAAAUACAGAUUUACCAAUAUCUAAAUACUAGGGCUAAAAACAAACUGAGUUCCUCAUUAAAAACAAGGAACUCAGGUUGAUGAAAUUCUCAAGUUUGAUGCCCGUUGGCAUCAUUUGACAGAUAAUCCAAGUUUGAUCAAGAUGAGCUGGUUAUUCAGGAACAAGUCAGUAAAUUUGUUGACUAAUUAUUAGGUGCAUUAUGUGUUUGUUUUUGCAUAUUUGGGCAAAUAAAAGCGUUUUUUUGUUGUUUGGAAAAUAAAGUCUACUAUUUAUUUUUAUGAGUUUCUUGAAUUCAAGUUAGUUAAUAUUUUUGUAAUAGUUUAAUUUUGUGUUUGAAUGUUAUAUUUAUAAGCGGUAUCUUAUGAACUGAGGAGUUAAGUUUGGCUUGUUUGCUCAUGACUUAUUCCAAGCCAUGAUCAAGCUCAUUAUGGGACACUUAACCUCAACAAAUUCCUAUGAAAGGUGAAACGUGUGGAACUUGCUCAGUUUUGUUUUAUUAAACUCAACUUGUUUGCUUCCCUACUAUGCUUGAUAUGGUACUCUAAAUUUGGGUUUUUUUUUUUUUUUUGGGGUUUUGGGGGGGGGGGGGGGGGGGGGUGGGGGGGGUUUUUGGCGCUUUUUUCNNNNNNNNNNNNNNNNNNNNNNNNNNNNNNNNNCUUUUUUUUUUUUUUUUUUUUUUUUUUUGGUGUGGGGGGGGGGGGGGUGGUGGUGUUGGAGGUUCUUUCGGCCUUUUUAACUGGAUUAUUGUUUUCUUGUCAAUUACUCAAUGCAUAGGAAGCACUGAAAAGGAGGCUGAAUGCAAGAAUAGAAUAUGCAAAGUUUCUCCAGGAUACCGUCAAAGAAAUGGCAAAGGAAGUCCAAAACUCACGGAGUGGAGAAAUUAAGAAAACUGCUGAGGAUCUUGAUGAGUUUUUGAACAGGGUAAAAACUGUUUAUUUUGGCCAAUAUAGUUUUUACUUGUCAAUUUUUUCAUUUUCAUCAAUGCAACAUGUGAUAAUUAUGCAGGUUAGAAGAGGUGCAGGGGUUUCUAAUGAUGAGAUUUUGGGCUUUGCAAAACUGUUCAAUGAUGAACUAACCUUGGAUAACAUUAGCAGGUUGGUUUUUGGUGUAGUCAGGCAGCAGCUAGUUUUCCUUCUGCAUUUAAAGUCAUCUAAUUAUUUCCCUUGUUUGGGUAUUUGCUUUUAAGUGAUAUGUUUCCUUUUUUUGCUUUAUUUUGCUCAUUUCAGGCCUCGGUUGGUCAGCAUGUGCAAAUACAUGGGAAUCAGUCCUUUUGGAACAGAUGCAUACUUGCGUUUUAUGCUUCGUAAAAGACUUCAAAGGUGAGAUCUUUUUUCCCCCCCUUGAAUGCGUCAGUACUUUUGUGUAUCCUCUUCUAGUGUCAAAUGAUGAAUGUUUGAAGUGACAGUAAAGUAUUGCCAAAGUUUGGGUGUUUGAAGGUUAGUUCUUGCUUGAUUGUGGUCUUGUGAAAUUGAUCUUCUAUGUCCCUUGUACUUAAUUUUCCUGCGUAUGAAGCUUUAUGAAUCUUUGAGUUGGCUGUUUUCCUUGAUACUUCCAGAGUAAAAUAGUGAAGUAUCUUGUUUAUAUAUUUUUGGUUCCUCAUAAUUGAGUUUGAGAAGGAUGCAUGCACCUUCUGUGCCACUUUGUUGCCUAAAAUAUCUUUUUCCGUGGGAACCACCUUAAUCUCUAUGCUUCUUUGUAAUGUGAUCUUCAAUGUAUUUAUUAUCGUAGUCCUCCAAUAAUAUCUUUUCAUUGUUCAGAAUUAAGGUUUAGCAGUUGACCUUACUUCUUGUUCUUUGGCAAUUUGAUAGGUAUAGAUUGUGUUAUUAAUGUUGAUGAUCAUGCAUUUUUCUAAUAGGAUCAAGAAUGAUGAUAAGUUGAUUCAGGCUGAGGGCGUGGAGUCUCUUUCAGAGGCUGAACUUCGUGAAGAGUGCAGGGAGCGAGGCAUGCUGGGUUUGUUAUCUGUUGAAGAAAUGCGGCAACAGGUAUCUGGGUUUAGCCUUUUUUGCAUAUUUUUUUGAGACAUGAUUCUCCAGGAUAUAAUCAGCUAGUUUGUCCAUGGGGCAAUAAUGUUAUGUUUGCCUAUGACAAACAGCAUAUCUAGUCACUGGGUUGGUGCAUUUUCAUAUUUGAAUGGUAAACCUUACAUUGGUGUAUGUUCAUGAUGAGUUAACUAACCUUCACUUCUUCAUAAUUCCAUAAUUCGAGCAUUCCUUCUCUUAAUGAGGCUAAAGUUAGGGACUUAUUUUUAGAAAAUGGUCUAUAGGCAAAAGUACAGUAUACUCGUGAUGUUGGUAAAGAACUCCAACUGGCUAGGGGUUGGGAUAUUUUAAACUAAAGUUAUAUGUAAUUUAAUUUUUCAACUUGUUGCCUUUUAUAUGCAGCUUCGUGAUUGGUUGGAUCUGUCUCUUAAUCACUCUGUUCCAUCUUCCCUUUUGAUCCUUUCAAGGUAUCCAAAGGUUCCUGUUUUUUCCUAACUCCAUCCCCCUCUUCAUUUAAGGCUUUAUCUUCACCCAUACAUUUUCAUUAAAUUGUGUCUGAGUUCUCUAGUCUUAAACCACAUGCAGAGCAUUUACUGUGUCUGGAAAAUUGAAACCAGAAGAAGCUAUGCAAGCAACACUGUCUUCUCUGCCUGAUGAGGUUGUGGAUACUGUUGGUGUUACAGCUUUGCCAUCAGAAGAUUCUGUUUCAGAGAGGAGGAGGAAGCUGGAGUACCUUGAGAUGCAGGAAGAACUGAUCAAGGUUUGAAAUUUAAAACAGUAUAUUUGGUGUUUUGGCAAAAAUUAAACAUUUUGGUAUUUACUUUUUGAUGCAUCAUUUUGCUUCAUUUGGUGUGAGCUGAAAAGGGAUAUUCAGUACUGUCUGUCAAGUCUUAAAUUAAAUGGCUAAACCUUGGGUUCUGGUGUGACUUGCACCCUUCACUUUUUCAAAAAGGAGCCUUAAAGCGUCUUGAAACUUAAGUGCAUCUUUUGAGUUACUUAUGUUGGUUUGAAUUGAUAAUUUUAGGAAGAGGAGGAGAAAGAGGAAGAAGAGCUUGCCAGGAUGAAAGAAUCGAAAGCUAGUGAAGAAGAUUCGGCACUCAAAGAGAUGACUACCCCAGCAGCACUUUUAGCACAAGAACGAGCUAGAGCUAGAACAUUAGAGAAACAAGAGCAUCUUUGUGAACUUAGUCGUGCACUAGCAGUUUUAGCAUCCGCAUCUGUAAGGACUCAGAUUUUCGAAGUUUUUAAUGUUAAAAAUUUUGUUAAUUUUUUUUUAACCAUUCAUGAUGCUUUCCUUUUUUAUGGGUGGGGGAGGUGUGGGGAGUUGGGUGCACCCUCAAAAGCGUUUGAUGAAGGGAAGGCUCAACCUAACUUCCCAUGGUUUAGCAGGAUAAAGGACUUCUAGUGAACAAAAUUAUGUUCUGUUAAUUGUUUUCUUAUUUUCCUAAUAAGUGUCGUGAUAUUCUUAGUCUUCUCAUUUUUAUUUUUUGCUAAUCUUGCAGUCAGUGAAUAGAGAACGAGAAGAGUUCUUAGGCCUAGUCAAUAAGGAGGUAUGCAUUUUGAACUUGGAAUAUCUCUGAAGAUUUUGUUCAUUAUUUUCCUAUUACACUGAAUGGCAUUUUCUCUCCAUGUGCUUUGUAUUGAAUGUUGAUCUGCUUGGGAAGUCAAUGAUCUGGUUUCUAGGUACUGGGCAUUAUUUUUAGGUUUUCGAACUUUUUCUAAUUAGUAAAAUAUACUUCAGAUAGAGCUUUACAAUAGCAUGGUAGAGAAAGAGGGUACAGAUGGUGAAAAAGAGGCCAUUAGGGCAUAUAUAGCUGCGCGGGAGGAAAGUGAUCAUGCUUCUGAAGUGGAUGAACAUGAUGAUGUUUCUUCUGCACUAAUAGAAAAGGUGAACUCAUAGAAUCAAUUACCAUUUCAGCUCCUAUUUGCAAAUUUUAGCUGCUGUUGACUGUUAUGGGUCAUUUAUCAUGCUCCAGGUUGAUGCCAUGCUGCAAAAUCUUGAGAAGGAAAUAGACGAUGUGGAUGCCAAAAUUGGUGAUCACUGGAGACUACUGGACAGGUGAAUCAUUUUUGUGGUGUUUUAUCUUUUUGGUUAUUCUUUGCUCACUAGAAUGUCAGUUUUACAUGUGUUUAUGUCCUCUACUUAGCUAAAGAUAUAUAGACUCUAUUAUAUUAUGUGUGUUUGUAAUCAGCCAUCAAUUGGAAACUUUACUGUGCAGUCUUAAACUCAGGGUUUCUUUGUAGUAUCGAAGUAGAGUAUGUGGCCAUUAGAGCAUGAUAUUGUUGCUGGUUAUUAUGUAUGAGGGAGGAAAACAAAAAUCAGGGCUAAUAGAAUGAGGUUUGCUUUGGAGUUAGUAUAAAAGGGUUGCUAUUUUUCUUGUCCAGAUAGCAAGGAAAGACAAUUAUUUUAAUAUAUGCAUAUGUGCAUGCACGAGUGUGGGUGAAUGCAAACAUAAAUAAACAACAUAGUUGUAGUUUUAACCACCCCUGCUGCCGCCAUCCCCCCUUUUCCUGGUCCUUUUCUUUUGGUUACAUCGGAACUUUUAAGGGGAGGGAGUUGUUAGAGCUUGAAUUCCUGGACCUUCUGCAUUAUGAGGUGGUCUAUCAAUCAAUAGGCUGCUAGGGCAUAAACCCCUACUUGUAUUUUGUUAGUGAAUUUUUUGAAAUAGUAAUCUGAUAGCUCUGUCCCUACUUUGAGUGUUUGAUUGUAAUUCCUGUUCAUUCAAAUUUUGAUGAAAUAUGCAAGUCUUUCAAAUAGAAGGUAAAAUGAUAACUCUCUCUGUACAUGCUUGAAAAAAUGACAAAAUAAUUUUGCUUCAUAAUCAGUGGUGUUAGUGUGUCACAUGCACAAUGAAAUGGAAUGAAAAUAUAACAUUGAGAUCUUUCCUUAAACAUCGAGUUGAAUACAACCAUAAAAGCCCCUUCUUUUGGUUAUCUUUGUACCAUUAAUCUGUUGAACAAUCAGUUUUUCUGUAGCUAAUUGACAGUGUAACUUUAUCAUUAAUUAUCUUUGUUUGUUGAUCAUUUUAAAUUCAGUGAUAAUUCUAAAUUUUGUGGAUUGUUUGAUGGUACUUUAAACGGUAGAUGCCUCUUCCUUUGUUUAUCUUUUUGGCAUUAAUCUGUGGAACAAUCAGUUUUUCUUUAGCUGAUUGGCAGUGUGUAAUUUUAUUAUUAAUUCUCUCUCUCUCUCUCUUUUUUAAUUUCAAUGAGAAUUCUAAAUUUUUGUUGGUUGUUUGAUGUGCACUUUGGUAGUUGUGGUCAUAUAAUUAUUUAAAGUAAUAGUCAUUUUAAUUAUGUAAAAUUUCAGUGGUCAUUACUUUUGCUUCGAUUAUUAAUAAACACAAAAUAAAAGUUAUGGUAACAGUCAGGGUGUUGAAUAAUGGAAUCAGAAAUAGUAACAGAAAGAAAUUGUUUCACCAAAUGGGCCUAAAUGGGACUGGAUUAGUCCUAUUCUGCAACUGCUGCAAAAAGUUAUUACUAGAGUCGCUCAAAUCGAUAAUUCACAAUCAUCGAAAAAUCUAAGUUCAGAAAAAGAAUUUAAUAAAAUAUGUUUGAUAUUAAAUGAAUAAUAAUUGAAAGGAACUUUUAUGAAACAAACAUCCGUUUCUCAUGUUUUAUCUGUUGUUUCCAAGUGAUUGGCGAAUCACCUGCAGAAAUGGAAGAUAAGUAUGUAACUAUUAGGAUUGGAAGUUUUGGUUUUUAGCAUUUUAUGUCUUUUCGCUUUCAUUCAUCAAACUUCAGUCAAAUUCUAACAUGAUAUCUGAAUUGUACCUGUGGCAGUAACUGCCUCCACAAUCUAAAACUACAAGUCAUAUUUGGUUAAAUUGUUUGUGUGCAGGGAUUAUGAUGGCAAAGUAAGUCCCGAAGAGGUGGCAGCUGCUGCUAUGUACUUGAAGGAUACAUUAGGCAAGGAAGGUGUUCAAGAGCUCAUCAGCAAUCUUUCCAAAGAUGGAGGUCAGCCAAUCAGUCCUCUCUUUCUACUCUCUCAAUAUUUAUGCAUAUACACACUUGUGUAUGUGCAUCGGUUGACAUUGUAUUUUGUUGUCCUAAACAUGGCGUUUCUCCUACUUGAAAAUUGAACAAACAAAAACUUCCCCCAUCUCAUAAAAAAUAUUCCUCUACUAAUAUUACAAGUGAAUUGUUACCAAAAUUACAAGUGAAUUAUUUGUUGCCCGAAGCAAAUGCUAUAUAGGUUUAACAGGUUUGCUUAUCAGGAUUUGGAACAACAGUUAAAACUGUAAAGCGGGAAACAGAGCAGGGGCCAGAAAAUUCUUGCUAAAUCUGUCGCUUCACUUUUUCCCUGUUAAUCACGAUAAUUUUUUUUCUGUUCUUAUGUCAAGAAGUUAAUUAUUCCACUAUAAUAUGUUUAUCUAAUGUAACAGCUACUGUCAUUAAUUUCAUUGAACAGAUGGGAAGAUUCUCGUUGAAGAUAUUGUCAAGUUGGGGAGUGGCACGGAUGAUGGCAAUAACGCCGAGUAGUGGAGUAAUUAGAUAAUUCCUGAUUUUGAGUCUAAUAUAUUCUUUAAUCAGGCUCAGUCAACUAAUCCUAUAGCAUUGGUAAGUUUUUUUGAAUGCUUCAAAUUCCAACUGUCAAUUUUUGGCCUCUAUAAUACCUUUCUAUAUAUAUAUAUAUAUAUAUAUAUAUUUAUAUAUAUUUAUAUAGGGGACAACUAUUUUAGGUCAUCUAUUAUAUUAUCUUGAUGAGGUUGCAUAUUUUUACUACUCUACUGCUGUAAAGAAAAGUUACGGUGAUAGGCAAGAAGAAAAUAUAUACAUACAUGUAUACAGAAAAGACUGUUUAAGCCUUUAUUAUUAGGCUUUCUAGUUAUGUAGAUGAAAAAUUAGUGCCCUAAAUAAAUUCUGUGCAUCUGAUUGAGAUCAUGCCAGCUUGUAUCGCCCGUCUUGUUGAAUUUACUGCUUGCUACCAAUCUUAGUAUUGAAAGCAAGUACAUAUGGAUAAGCCUUGCCCAAAUUCUGCCUCCGCUGCCUGAUUAUUCACAGUUUAUCCUUUUUUUUUUUUUCAGUACAUGGUCAGCAAUAACUUCAUUUAAAAAAAAGAAAAAUUUCAUUGAUUUGAUCGGAUGACCUCACACACUGAAUUUAGAUAAGGCAUUCUCAAUAAAUAUAUAUAUAUAUAUAUAUAAUGCAAGUUACUCAAGUGUUCACAUCAUUCUUGAAGCAGUUAUUUGCUACAGAACAAAAACUUUUAUGUAAAAGAGAGUGGGAGGAAAAGAACAAAGACAUUAGGUUGAAAUAUUAUCUCUGUUUCUUCAAAUGGUGAUGGAAGCAAUGAGGUCUUUAAAGAAAAGAAGUUUAAAGAGGAGACUGACAAUGAAAGUGACAACCACGUCUGAACAAAUAAAUCACAAACAGGAUUAUUGAUUGAAUGAAUUCCUUUGGCAUUUAUUCUGAGCUUGGGAAAUUAAUCAAUUUUGACAUAAGAGUAUUUUUUAAUAUUUGAAUUUCUGUGUAUAGUGUUCAAUUCACGAAAGAUUCUUGUAUAGUUAAAGACACAUCAUUUAGAUCAGUGGCGGAUGUACGGUGUCUGGCCCUCGCCCUCAACCUCACAGUUAAAACUCUAUCUUUAUUCACCGUACCGUUCGAUAAUAUAACUUUCUAUUAAGUGCUCUCUAAUUUAAUUUUUAAUAUUUUUUUAUUAACUUUUAACAUUUUAUAAAAGUGAAUUAAAUUUUUUUACAAACAUAUCCAUCGUUUUUUUUUAAUUUAACUAAUUAAAUAAUUAAUAUUUUUUGUGUUUUAAAUUAAAUAAUUAAUUAAAUAAUUAUUUUUAUCAAAUAUUUUUUUAAUUUAAAUUACUAUAUAAAUAUCUAUUAGCUAAGGGCUAAUAGAAUAUUUACUAAAAGUUUAUAUGGGUGAACAUACCCUUAAUUUGAACUGGUGGUGGCAAGUGGGUAUUAAAUCGGUCUUUAGCUGAAAUGGAAGGUUUUAUUAGCCCAAAAAUCUUUUUAAAUUUUAUUUUGUAAAACAGUGAAAAUUUUAAUUUAUUUUAUUUAAAUCCUUCAAUUCUUUAAAAUUUUCCUAUGGUCUCCUAACUUUGGUGCGUGACUCUGUCAUUGAUUCACAUAACUUGUACAUUAGCUAAUGUAUUUUAAUUAAAGUAACUAUACACACACAUAUGAACAACCCUAUUGUGAAGUAGGCAUUAAUUUUGCCACAAAUUCCUCAACAUUCUUAUCAGAACUUCCAUCUUCAUCCAUUGCUUCUUUAGCAAGUUUCUUCCAUUUCUCACAAUUUUUUCUGAUCUCUCCUUCCAUAACUUCCUUUAAACACAUCUCUAUUUCUUCUUUCGUGACGAUUCCUUCUUCAUCAACCUUAACCCUAACCCCUGUCCUCCACACAUCAGCAACAAAUUUUGCAUUAGUAGUUUGAUCGCACCAUUGAGGCAUUGCCACCAUUGGCACUCCCAAGCUCAAAGCCUCCAUUGUUGAGUUCCACCCACAGUGAGUCAUGAAGCAGCCUGUAGACUUGUGGGCUAGAACUUCUAGUUGAUUACACCAAGUUACAAUCAUGCCCUUCUCCAUUGUCUCCUCCACAAAAUUGCUUGGAAGCUUUUCUUCUUCUGAUUCCCUUACUACCCAUAAGAAAUAAUGGUUGCUUCUCUUCAAGCCAAAUGCUAUUUCUUCCAUUUGCUUUUCACCCAUUAUACAUAGGCUUCCAAAUGACACAUAAAUUACUGAGCAAGUUUCAUUUGAGUCUAGCCACUUCAUGUAAUUUUCUAUAUUAGGCUUGUGGAGGUUCAGACCAUAAUCUUUGUUAUCUUGUAUUCUCUUGUCUAAGAACAUUGAUGGAAUACUUGGUCCUAUUGGUUUUAUUGGGAAUUUCCUUGCUAUCAUACCGUUUAUCACCUAAAAUGAAAAUUAAUCAACAUUUUAGAAUAAGUAAUUAAGAAAAUACAUCAAAAAUACUAUUAAAAGCAUUUUUACAAAUAAAUUUCGAUGAUAUAUACAUACCUCAUCUUCCAAUUCACAGAAAGUGUUGAAAAAUACCCAAUCAGCAUCCCCAGUAUUCAAAAACUGAUUACCCAAAAGAGUUAAAACAGUAGGGUAAUUCUCCAAAUCAAAAAAGAAACUUGGUAAGUCAUAAAGAUCAAGCAAUGGCAUCCCUUCUAUCGACACAGGAACCUUCUCAACAGGAGUACUCAGCGCCCCUUCAUGAGCUUUAUAGUAUAUAGUGCUGACAGCACAAGACUGUGUAAAGAGACAAGCACCAAAGAGCCCAAGCUCUCUUGCUAUGUCUAAAGCCCAUGGCAUUACAGAGUCAUAAAGAAGACAACUUACAGGGUAACCAGACUCGCCAUUUCUAGCGACGAUUUCCGGCAAUUUUAUUGACACUAUAGACUUCAAGUUCUGGAAAUAGUCAUCUUCUUUAUUACCAUCACUAGAGAUGAACUCUAUAUUAACAGAGCCAUGUUUGGUUCUUGUUAUUUGCUUGUCAAUGAAGGAGAGUAGUGUGACUUUGAGCCCUUUAGAGGCUAAACGCUUAGAGAAUUGAAGCAUUGGAUUUAUAUGGCCUUGGAAUGGCAAAGGAAGCGCUAAGACAUGAGUUUCAGUAAAGGGUCUGUACUGUUCAGUCCCCAUUUCUGUGUUAUCAGACUACACAGAGAUGCAAUAGAGUGAUACAUAUAUGGUCCGUAUUUAAGAAUGUAAGAAGAGAGGAAUGACUUGUGGUCUACCUCUAAUUGAAAGAUGAUGCCAAAAAUGUAUGACAGCUAUUAUAUCCUUUUCUUUUCCUUUAUUGUUUUCCUAAAUUUCAAAUAGAAAAAGAGAUUAUAAAAAUAAAAGAGAAUGCACAUACAUAAAUUUUAUGGAGAGUUUAUUUCAACUAUUUCAGAUAAUUAGUAACUGAUUUUGACUAGAAUGUAAUUAUUUUAUUCGAUCACCGGCUAAUUUUAUUAGGUGCGUUUUAUAACUUUUCCUUAUCACUUGUUAACUGAUCUGUAUUUAUAUUUUAUAAUUUGAUUAUAUUAACUUUAUAUUAUAAAAAUAAUUAUUAAUAAAAUUAUUUUUUAAAAUUAAUAUCAUAUAAAAAAUAAUAAUAAUAACAUUAAGCAUAAUCAAAAUCCAAUAAUCAUAUUAAUUAUACUUAAUAUUUUCUCUUUGAUUAAUCUUUAUAUAUUUUUUAUUUAAUAGAAAAAUUUAUUCAGAAAGAUUUAUUUAAUAAAUACGGUAGAAUAAUAGAGAAAAAACUUUAUUGAAAAAUAUAUUUAAUUAAUUGAUCCGUUUUAUAUUUAGAAAAAUGCAUACUAUUUUAUUUAUAUAAUUAUUAUGUUAACAAGUAAUUGUGGUUAAAAAAAUAAAAAAUGAAAAAGAUGAAGUGACUUUCAUGGAUAUAAUUUGAAAUUCAUAAAAACAAAAAGAGAAACCUAUAAUUUAAAGAAAAAUGAGACAGGAUAGAAUGAAAUUUAGGUUGGUGUACGUUGAUCUUAAUUAAAUAACCAGUCCAAUUUCAUAAUUACUUUUAAAAUGAAAUUCAUGACGAAACUAUUAAAUUGAUAUUCGAAUAUUUUCGGAAUGAAAAAUCCUGGACAAUUUUAAGGAAUAGGUCGGGAUUCCCGCUGUUCCGUGCACAUACCUGUUGGGAAAAACUAUGUCAUGUCGCUUUGCCUUUGUUCUAAUUUGUAGUAUUAUAAUUAAAUAAUUAUUUUUUGGGGGUGGAUAGUAUGUAAUACUUCUAUUUAGAAAACUAAUUGUCAACUGUAUAAAUUCACCUAUUGUACGUAAAUUUUUUUAAUACUCUCAACUUUUACUUUUUUUUUAUUGAAUACUUUAACUCAUAAAUUUACACUUAUUAAAAACUUUAAACUGUAAAUUAAACUAAACAUUUCAAUUUACAAAAUUAACUUAAACUAUAAAAAUAUCCCAACUAUGCAAGUCAUUGCAAAAUCGCCUAAAACUACAUUUGUAUCCCAAACACACUAUCUGAAAACUUAAACAUAUUGACACCCCAAUUUAAAAAUCAGACAUUAAAAAAGACUGAAACAAUAUUUAAUAUGGAAUCCACUACUUUACCUUGGGUUAACAUAAACCGAAGGAAGUCAAAAUAACCUUCUUUAACCCAAAUAGAUUAACUUUUUUCUCCUUUCUUUGUCUGAAAUCGGGACUUUGCCCUGAAUUUCCAUUUUCCAAAUUUCUUCUGUUGGUAUUAAACUAACAGAGUUUGUUAUUAUGAAUAAAUUUCCAGAGUUGGUAUUAAAUUUCCAGUCCGCAAAAAAUAUAUGGUAUGAAAAAAAAAAAUUUAAGGAACAAUAUGAAGAGUUUAUUGAGUUAAGAUGUGAGAAAACACAAUACAUUUUAUAUUAUGAAGUGAAAUAGAUUUUUACAUUUGGUUGAUAUAUAAAGAAAAUAAAUUCUUAUUUAUAGGAACAUGUAAUGAUUUCAUAUAUAAACAAACAUAUUUAGGGACUUUCACAUUUUGGUAAUAUGUGAAGUAGCCAUUAAUUUUGCCACAAAUUCCUCAAUAUUCUUAUCAGAACUUCCAUCUUCUUCCAUUGCUUCUUUAGCAAGUUUCUUCCAUUUCUCACAAUUUUUUCUGAUCUCUCCUUCCAUAACCUCCUUUAAACACAUCUCUAUUUCUUCUUUCGUGACGAUUCCUUCUUCAUCUACCUUAACUCUAAUCCCUGUCCUCCACACAUCAGCAACAAAUUUUGCAUUAGUAGUUUGAUCACACCAUUGAGGCAUUGCCACCAUUGGCACUCCCAAGCUCAAUGCCUCCAUUGUUGAGUUCCACCCACAGUGAGUCAUGAAGCAGCCUAUAGACUUGUGAGCUAGAACUUCUAGUUGAUUACACCAAGUUACAAUCAUGCCCUUCUCCAUUGUCUCCUCAACAAAAUUGCUUGGAAGCUUUUCUUCUUCUGAUUCCCUUACUACCCAUAAGAAAUAAUGGUUGCUUCUCUUCAAGCCAAAUGCUAUUUCUUCCAUUUGCUUUUCACCCAUUAUACAUAGGCUUCCAAAUGACACAUAAAUUACUGAGAAAGUUUCCCUUGAGUCUAGCCACUUCAUGCAACUUUCUAUAUUAGGCUUGUAGAGGUUCAGACCAUAUUCUUUGUUUUCUUGUAUUCUCUUGUCUAAGAACAUUGAUGGAAUACUUGGUCCUAUUGGUUUUAUUGGGAAUUGCCUUGCUGUCAUCCUGUUUAUCACCUAUUGAAAAUUGAUUAACUUUUUUAGCAAUAAGUAAUUAAGAAAAUACAUCAAAAAUACUAUUAAAAGCAUUUUUACAAAUUAAGUUGGAUGAUUACAACAUACCUCAUCUUCCAAUCCAUUGAAAGUGUUGAAAAAUACCCAAUCAGCAUCCCCAAGAUUCAAAAACUGAUUAGUCAAAAGGUUUAAAGAAGUAGGGUAAUUCUCCAAAUCAAAAAAGAAACUUGGCAAGUCAUAAAGAUCAAGCAAUGGCAUUCCUUCUAUCGACACAGGAACCUUCUCAACAGGAGUUCUGAGCUUCCCUUCAUUAGCUUUAUAAUAUAUAUUACUGACAGCACAAGACUGCGUAAAGAGACAAGCACCAAAGAGCCCAAGCUCUCUUGCCAUGUCUAAAGCCCAAGGCAUUAUAGAGUCGUAUAUGAGACAACUUACAGGGAAACCAGACUCGCUAAUUUUAGCGACGAUUUCUGGCAAUUUUACUGAUACUAUGGACUUCAAGUUCUGGAAAUAGUCAUCUUCUUCAUUAGCAUCACUAGAAAUGAACUCUAUAUUAACAGAGCCAUUUUUGGUUUUUGUUAUUUGGUUGUCAAUGAAGGUAAGUAGUGUGACUUUGAGCCCUUUAGAGGCUAAACGCUUGGAGAAUUGAAGCAUUGGGUUUAUAUGGCCUUGGAAUGGCAAAGGAAGUGCUAAGACAUGAGUUUCAGUAAAGGGUCUGUACUGUUCAGUCUUCAUUUCUCUGUCUUUAGAUUGUACAUAGAUAUGCAAUGGAGGCAUUUAUAUAUGGUCUGUGUUUAAGAAGACAAUGGAGGAACCACUUGCAGUCUAAUAAUGAUAUAAAGAUGAAGAUGAUGCCAAGAAAGUUGAUUUUAGGCAAAUAAUUCACCCUCCUACUUUUUUUUUUGAAAAACCUUACAGCAUAUUAAAUAAAAGUAAAAUAAUAAAACUUAAAUAUUAUUUACUCUCGAAAAAAGGAAUAAUGGAUGAAAAAUGAAAGUAGGACAAAAAAUUAUAUAUGCGUCGGAGGGAGUAAUUGGUACACUUUAUAUAUCAUGAAUUAUAUAUGGCGGCCUUCGACAAGUACAUUCAAGUUCCCUCCAAUCUUACACUCCUACUAGAAGGAACAAAAAAAAAUUAUUUACAAGAGUUAAAUGAGAAACGACAAUUUAAGUUGGGUAAUAAUAGACACCAACAUAUAUACAUUCGGCUGAAAAGAUAAUUUUGUAUGUAAGACCAAACAAAUUGUCACAGAUGGCCAUAGAUUAUUGAAAUGUCGUUUGUGUUUGCACCCAAUGUUAUGUCGUCUAGUAUGUAUCUUAAUCUUAACUGUGUUGCUCAAUUAUUUGAUAUCUAUGUCUUGUAGGUUUGUUCAUUUUACCAACAUGUAGUGUUGGCAGAAAACCAUGUCUUGUUGUCUUGCCUUUGUUCUAACUCAUAUUACAAUUAAUGUUUUUUUUUUUUUUUUUUUUUUUUUUUUGGUAUCAUAUGUCAUAUUUCCAUAAUUAAAUAUUAACCAAUUUACAUAUUGAUUGUUUUUCAAGAGUAAACGGAUCCUUAAAUCUCUUUAAACUUCUGUUAUGAAUGAGACAAUCACUUUAAUUUCCCAAGCAGCAGUCGAACUUGGUUUGGAAUAUUUCAAUUAAAAUUGAAAUUUCAAAUCGAAAUUGAAUUCAAAAUGGAAUUUCGGACAAAUAAAAUAAAAUGAAAUGUAUUUUUUAAAAUAUUGACCAAUGGAAUAUGCAAUGAAAAUGUAAAAUGAAAAAAGAAAUCAUAUCUUUAUCCAUAUAAUAAACUUUUAUUUUAUUACUUACUUUUUAUUAGUAUAUUUUAAUUUUAAUAAAAUUAUUAAAUUAUAUAUUUCAAAACUAUUUUUGAAAUUCCAUAGUUAGAAGAAAACUGAACUAUAAAACUAUAUAAUUUAAUGGAACAUGUUAAAAUCCUAUUUCCUUAGGUGAUAAAGCAAUAAGGAGAUAAUUUUGAGCUAUUUGAAAGGGUUCCAUUAUGCUUUUAAUUGUAAUAUCAUAUUUUUAUUAGACAUACAAUAUAUUAUUUUAUUGAUUUAGUAUAUUUUUUUUUUAUAAAGUUGGUAACUAAAUAUAUUGAAGUGUCUUAAUUAAUAUGAAUGAUUGAAAUCACAAUCCAACAAAAAUAUCAAGUGUCUUAAUUAUUAUUUUAUCCAUUUUUCUACCAUCUUUAUUUAGUCUCACCUUUAGCGUAUCUUAUUUUUGUUUGAUUAUCAUUUCAUUUAUAGUGGUAACAUGAUAUUAUUAUUGCACUAUAUCGGUUACUUUAAAUUAAUUUAAAAGGGGGUUUGGUUACGUAUUUAAGUAGAUCAAACAUACUUUUACGUAGAAAGUCAUAUGUAGAUAUAUUGAACAGGCUGAGUCGAAUUUUGGUAAGUAAGUGUAUAUAUGAUUUUACAAUAGAGCUAAUUUCGAAUUCUCUCAUGAGUACUCAAAAAAAAAAAAAAAAAAAACCUUUUCAAUCCAUUCACAAUAAUAUAUGAAUCUAAUUCUUUUCAAAUUCAUUGCAUAUUUAAUAAAAAUAAUUUUUCAAAAAAAUCUUUAUAGAUUGAUUUGGUAGACAAGUUUUAUCAUUAGUUAUUAUCAUUUGGGAUUCAUUUAUUUAGAUCAGGUCCAUAGUCGUACUCGUGAAUCAAACUAAUAAAAAUAAAAUUUUGUUGAAAUAAGAGUAUUUUCUUACCACAGUUUUCCUUAUUAGUUAGAGUAAUAUUGGAGUUUCAGAACGCAGAGCUAGUUAAAACUGAAAUAACAGGAUAAUAUUAGUUGAUUAUUACACAAGCAUUGUAUUAAUUUAGCUUUGACUAUUUAGUUCCAAUAAGAUUGGAGUUGUUUUACAAACUCAUCAAUAUUCAUAUCAGAACUCCCACCUUCACCAACUGCUACUCGAGCAAGAUUCUUCCAUUUCUCCGAAUUCUUUCUAAUCUCAUUUGCAGGCUCUCCUUCCAUGACUUGCCUUAUGCACCAAUCUAUUUCUUCCUUGCUUACAAGUCCUUCUACGUUCACUUUUACCCUAACUCCUACUCGCCACACAUCAGUAACAAAUUUGGCAUUGGUAAGCUGAUCUCCCCACUGAGGCAUUGCCACCAUUGGUACUCCCAAGCUUAACGCCUCAAGCGUUGAGUUCCAACCGCAAUGAGUAAUGAAGCAUCCUACAGACUUAUGAGAUAGAAUUUCUAGCUGUGGACACCAACCCACAACUAGACCUCUAUCAGAGGUCUCAUCGACGAAGUUCUGUGGAAGCUUUUUCUCUUCAGAUUCUCUAACUACCCAUAAGAAAUGGUAAUCGCUUCUUUUCAAGCCGUUUGCUACUUCUUCCAUUUGCUUUUCCCCCAAGGCAGCCAAGCUUCCAAACGCUACGUAAACUACUGAACUAGUUUCUUUUGAAUCUAGCCACUCUAUCAAAGUUUUGGUAUUGGAUUUGAACAAGCUGAGGCCAUAAUCAUCAUCAUCAUCAUCCUCCAAUCUAUUAUCCAAGUACCUUGAUGGAAUUGUUGGUCCUACUAGCUUGAUUGGGUAUUGGGUUGCCAGCCAGUUCAUAACCUGAAUUGUCAUUUGAAAGAAAUACGUACUAUUAUACUUCUAUAAAGGACUAAUUUGCUAAUUAUAAACCAAAUGAAUAUAAAGUAUUAGCAAUUACCUCUUCUUCUAAGCUAUUGAAACUGCUAAAAACAAUCCAAUCAACAUCCUUCAAAUUUGAAAACUGACCAGUCAUUAAGCUUAUGAAGCUUGGCUGGUCCUCCGAAUUGUAACGAGAAGAAGGUAGGUCAUGGCUCUCAAGUUGUGGCAUCCCUUCUAAUGAAACAAAGUCCUGCUCUAUUGGAACAUUUAUCUUCCCUUCACGAACAUGGUAAUAAAUGGCCGAAACAGCGCAUGACUGUGUAAAAAAUGAAGCUGCAGAGAGACCAAGCUGUUUGGCUAUGUCUAAAGCCCAAGGUAUAAUUGAAUCAUAAACAAGACAACUUCUCAUAUGUUUACCGAACUUGUUUUGUUUUUCAACCAUUUCUACAAGUUUUUGUUCUACCAUUGAACUGAAAUUUUUCCAGUAUUCUUCUACCGUGGAAAUUACUGCAUUGUUAUCGGAAAUGGACUCGAUAGUAAUAUUUGAGCUGUGUUUGGGUAAUUUUGUUAAAUUUUCAUUUUCAAGGAAGGUGACUAGGGUUACCUUGAGUCCUUUAGAGGCUAAGCGUUUAGAGAAUUGUAGCAUUGGGUUAAUAUGGCCUUGUGCAGGGAAAGGAAGAGCUAUUACAUGAAUUUCAACAGCUAUUUGAUUUCUCUCCAUUUUCUGUUAACUAUUUUGCUUUCUGUUCUCUCUUUCUCUCAUACACAUGAGUAGAGCUGUGAUUAUGAAGACAAUAGAGGAAUAAUUUAUGGUCUAAUGGUGAUAAGGAGAUGAUGUCAAAAAUGUUAAAAAGGUAAAACAUAUAUGUAGGGUAAUAAAAUAAAUCAUGUAUGAACUUAUUAAAAAUUUAAAAUAUAUAUAUAUAUAACUCUUAUUUAAAAGUUUGAGCAUAGCACAAACAGUAGCUAGUGUGUGUGUGUAUAUAUAUAUAUAUAUAUAAAGAAGAUAUAUUUAUAAAAUUCCUACAAAACUUUAGUAGUGCCUAAAAUUCCGAAAGUUUGAUUACGCUGCAUAGGAUUCGAUAAUUUUAAAAUCAAUGUUUAUAAUAAAAAUUAUUAAUUUAUAUUAAACUUAGGUAUAAUAAAUAAUAACAGUUAAUGAAUUAAUGAAUUUUUAAUUUUAAUUAAUGUUACGAAUUAUGCUCAGUUAUUUAUUGAUAAUAAAAUUAACAUAAUUUAAAACGACCGGCAUAAUUUUCUUUUAAUAAAAUUGAAUUUGAUUGGAUCGUAAAUGUUUUAAUAGCACAUAUGCCGGACAAAUAUAGUCGUUUUAAGGUUUUUGCAGAGUGAUUAAGAAAGUAAUUAAUUUCUCUAUAUUAUAACUAAAAGUUCAUUAAUUUGACUAAAUUAAAUUACAUUUUAUCUCACACUAUUAUUAAUUAAUGCAUUUUAAUACAUAUAAAGGUAAAAUUCGAAAAAAUUCAUUAAUUACUCUUUAAUAUUCUUGAUUUAUAUUUAUGAAUAAAGAAAAUAUAUUCCAAAAGAAUUUAUAUUUAUAGAAAAAAAGAAUACUAAUUGAAUACCACCUUAGUUCCAUUUAAAUCAUACACGAUUCUAGAAUAUAAAAUGUAUACGGCGGCGUUUGAUAACUACAGUUUAGUUUGAAGGAAACAAACAAUUAAGUUUAUGUAGAAGUGUUAAAUGAGAAAGGACAAUUCAAGUUAGGUGAUAGACAUGAACUCCCUGUAUACAUAUUUAGAGAGAAAAUUACCAAACAAAAGAUAAAAUGUCGUUUUGCGUUUACACUCGUAUGAUAUGUCGUUUUUCAUACAUCUUAACCUCAAUUAAUGCACAUGCUAUCUCUGUCCUGUAGUUUUGUCCUUUUUACCAACAUGUAGUGUUGGCAGAAAGCCAUGUCUUGUUGUUUUGCCUUUGUUCUAAUUCUUAUUAUAAGAUCUCUGUUAUUAUUAUUAUUGUUGUUGUAUCGUAUGUAAUAUCUUCCUAAGUACUCUUUGGAAAAUUAAUGAAACAAAGGAAAGACAAAUCAAGAAAUCACAUUUUUAAAACUUUUUGCACAUAAGAAACAUAAAAAGAUAUAGAGUCCGUUCGAUAAAAUUAGUUGUUUUAGUAGUUGUUAACUAUUUGAGUACAUUUUCAUGAAACGUUAAAAGAUACGUUACCGAACCUCUAAAAAAGUUGGUCCAAAAUGCUACGUUACUAAAUAAUUUUUUAAGUAGCUUUUAACGAUUUGACCAGUCAAAACGUUAAAAGCUAUUUAAAAAGCUAACGGCAAUCUGUCCACUCAUUUAAUAUUCCAAAUUUUGUUGUCUUCUUCCACAUCUCAACCCAGCCCCAAAACUCACAAACUAAGAUUGCCAUUGAUAAGCCUUUUAAUUUACCGGUCGUCGACCUUUUGUAUUACGUUGAUGUAUUUUUAAAUGAGAAAUUGAAUAGAGAUAAUUAAGAAAUAUAAGGUAUAUUUCAAGGAGGACAAGUGCAAGUGUUAAGUGGAAAAAAGUUGUGGGAUAUUGGGUAGUUGCCGCCCCUCCCUUUCUCUUUCUCCCAUUCACCAUUAAAAUUUUUUUCAAUUUUUUUUUUUUUAUUGAAACACAAACCAAGCGUGUAGAUACGGGGAGGGAAUUGAUUUUUAUCUCUUAUGACAGUCUCUUCUCGUAUUUUUAGUUUUAUUGCAAGUUUUCAUGUCUUUUUGGUUAAUAAGUUAUAAAUCUAUAUCUAUUUUGGCAUAGAUGUAUGUUAUUAUGUUUCUACUAUUAUUUUGUGUUUUAUCUCCAUCUUGUGUGAGGUUAUGAUCUUUCCAUUUUAUGUGGAAUGUUUAUUUUGUUUUUUGCAUUUGUUUGGUUUUAUUUGAACAUGUGUGCAAUUUGUGGAGAAUUUUUCAACUACAUGAUGGUAGUGCAGUUUGUUCCUCUAUUGGAUUUAGUGGUUCAAAUUCUUUGCGUUCGUCAUAAACAACUGUUUCAUGGAUAAUUAAGCUAUGUAUAGAAGAUUCGACGGGUUUAUUAAACCAACCACUUUUGAAGAUCUAUUUGUUUUUUUCAAGUUCAUCCUCUAAUUUUGAUUAAGAUUUCUUUUUAAAUUAGCAAACAUCAAUUAUUUUGAUUAUAAUAGUUUUUGUUCUAUGUUUACUCUUCAGGAGAGGGAUCAUAUCCUCUUUGUAAUAUUUAUAUUGAUUUGAAAUUUUUUAAUAGAAUUCUAAUAUAUUAUCUUUAAAAAAAAGGACGACAAGUGCAAAUAAGCCCUUUAAUUUUUAUAAUUUUUAUAAUUUCUACAAAAUCUUGUAAUUAAGUAGAUAAAAAAUUUAUUUUAAAGGGUAUAUAAAAAAUUUUAAAAAAAAAGUAUUUAAUUUAGUUUAAUAUAUAUAAAGAGACACUAAAGUAAUUCAAUCAUCAUUCUAAAAUUUGUAUGGAGAAACUUUUAACAUAAUAAAGUAAAGUGAUUCAAUCCUCAUACUUCAAUAUUUUUUCACAAUUAAUUUUGAAAACAUUCUUAUAUUCAAUAAUUUGAAUUGAGAAUUCAAUUUCAACUAAUCGUUACUCUGGUUUUUAUAUUGUAAAUUUUCACAAAAGGAAUUGGCCCCUUCACUACAACUUGGCCUCGUCCUUACUCUUAUCUAAGUAUGCACUAAACUUUAUUUCAAUCAGAUGAACAUUAAGUGAAAAGUAAUAUAAUUAAUACAGCUUCACUUUGGUUCAGUUUUAAUUAAAAAAUGGGCAAUUUUAUUCAUUUUGGUUCAUUUUUCAAUCUACCUAGAUUUUUUGUUCUAAUUCAAUUUGAAAGUUUUCUCAAAAUAGAUCAAAUAAAACCAAAUGCUCACACGUAACUAUUAUUUGAACGACUUCUUUAUCCGUCGAAUUUUUUAAAAACGUAUUCCGAUUUUAUUCUUUCAUUUUUCAAGUGUAUGGUUAGAAAUAUUCUCCUUUCAAUAAAAAUCUUUAAUUUCAUUAGUUUGAUCCAUAAGUAGGACUAUAGACACUUCUCAAAAUUUAAAUUGAGAUUAGACCAACUCUAAUAAGUAACUUAAUCUCUAAAUCUCAUGUUGUUGGUAUUAUUUAGUCAAACAUCAAUAGUUGAGUGUCAAAACUUGCUACAUAAAUUACUACCAAAAACAAACAAAAUGGUAAAACAUGUAAAUACUUACGAAAUUGACUAGUUUUUAAUAAUCUUAUUUAUUUAUUCUAAAAAUCAUUUUAAAUAUAAUAAUAAUCACAAUAUUUCAAGCAUAUAAAACUCUCUGUCGUUUUUAUGCUGUCAAUUCUUGUCAUUUAGCAUUUCUUUUACAUAUGCAAUUAGGUCAGCACUUUUGUUCUGUAGCAUUUUUUAUGUCAUAUAGAAAAUUAACAAUUUUCUUUUACUAUUAUCUUUAAAGAGAGAGAGAGAGAGUCUAAGCACAAGGAGUAAAGAAGAAAAUUUGGUGAUAUUUAGCACAAAUCAUUAUUAAUCCUAAAUAUAGCUUUGUUUAGGGUAAAAAAGAAAUUACAGUUAUAUGAGAAAUUAUAGGAUACCAAUCAAAAAUAAUAAUUUACAAAUUCCUAUAUAGUUCGAUCAAACCACUCAUCUUUGAUUAAAAAAAACGUUUGUUUUUAGUUGAAUUAUAUGAUUAAUUGCUAAUUUGCACUUAAUAAUUAAUUUAAGGAUAUUUGAUAAAAAUUUUAAUUAGCAGUAAUUUGAUUUCUAAAGUAGGAGUGCCGUAUGAUUGAACUUUUUCUGUCCUAUUUGUUACUAUUCAUUUUUUCUUUGUUGAUAUUAAUGUUACACGAAUUCUUUUUUUGUUUUGAGACAAAUGAAUUUGUCUACUACACAAAUUCGUUUAUAUGAUUGAUAGAAACGCAGGCUAUGAAGUUAUGCGAGUAGAAAGCAAAAGAUAUCUAUUCUAAUUUUAUCGUGGGUUGACGCUACUUUGAAUUGUUCUAAUUUAAUUGCCACAUCGAAAAAAUUGAAAGAUUUAAAAAAACUCUCUCCAAUACUAAUAUUUAUUUGAUGUGUCAAAAAUAAAUAGACACGGUCAAUCAUAUCCUCUAUUUUAAGAGCAUUUAUUAGAUGAUAAACUUAAUAAUUUAUUUCUUUUUCCUAUUACAUUUAUUUUUUUACGCCAAAUUUAUUAUUUUUACGUUUUUCUCCUUUUCUUCACCCUCAACAUUAUUCUUCGCGCUCCUCUCCUAUUUUUCUCUUUUUUCUAAAAUCUAUGUUUUGAGCUAACAAUCUGGAAACACUUUUGAGAACAGUUUUGAUUGAUUCAAAAAUACAAAACAGAAAAGCAAAUGAAGAGACUGUUAUCAUUUGUGAAAAUCUUAUUUAUCUUUCUGGUGGCUCUUCAUCAGUGGCCAUUCAUCAACCCAGCAAAAAAAAAAAAAAUCAACGCAUGCGACAAUUGCUUCUAAUUUGACUCUUCUCUCAUUCUUUUUAUCACUGGAAAUAUUUAUCCAUUUGGGUUUUUUUUUUUUUUUUUUUUACUGGAAAAAUGCAGUUUUUAUGAUUUUUUUUAAUCUGAUUCAAUUUGAAUUGCUGUGUGAUUCAUGUGUUUCUCUUUUUUUUUUCUAGUUCUAUUUAUUUGAUUGAUUAACUUGGCUUUGUUAGAAUUAAUCUUCAGAAUCCUUUGAGAUCUUCCUUAUUUGGUUUCAAGUUGAAGAAAUAAAAACCACAGUGUGUAAAUCUGGUGGUGGAUUGUUUAUUGCUUUCUACUUUUGUGGUGUUCUGUUUUUACGUUUAUUAUUUUUUCAAACGUUUAUUUUAUUUUAUUUAUAGAUUUAAUUUUUUCAUUAUAUAUAAUUUUGAAAAUUGUCAUGCUCGUAAUAAAUUUAAUUAAUAUUUUUAAUAUAGAGUUUCUUUCAAAUGUCUAUAUAUUCAUUGGAUAGCUAAAAAUAUAUUAUUUCCUCCACUAUGUGAAAUUCAAUAUUUUUAAAAUUUUUUGUUUCAGUUUACUUGUCACUUCAAAAGUUGAUGAUGCAUUAAUUUUUUUUUUUUUUAAUUUUACCCCUAUCUCUUGAUAUUUUUCCACUAAAUAAAUAUUAAUUAUUUAGAGAACUAAUAAAAAAGUAAUUUAGUUAAUUAUAGCAUAUUUUUUAAAUUUUAAAUAGUUUCAAUUAUUUUCUUAAUUCUUGUAUAAAAAUUAGAAGUGUCAAAAUUUAAAAGAAUGAAAAGAGCAUCAAAUGAUUAUCAUAUAUCAAUUAUUACCUUCCAACUAUUAAUUAUCAAUUAGGAGCAAGAAAUAUAUCAGUUAAGACUGAAAAAUCAAACACAAUUAAUCUAGUUUGGUUUUUUAGUUUAAUUAUUCAUUUGAUUUAUUCGGUUCGAUUUAUGAUUUGAGGUAAUUUUAAAUUUCAGUUCGAUUAUAGAAAACAGUCAAAUUUAUCCAAAAAUUACAUUGAAUCAACAUAAGCAAAUUGAAUCAGUUCUCUCUGGUGCUAUGCAUAAUUCGAUUUUUUAGUUCGAUUUAAAAAAAAGAAGAUGUAGUUUACUUAUCGGUUCGGUUCGGUUCGAAACCAAAUUGAAUUACUGCACAUCCCCAUUACCAAUUGCCUGGGCAGAAUUAUCAACAAUUAGUUGAAGUUCACUACCAAAUCAAGACCCAUAAUGAAAUGAAUUACUUAAAAAUUUUAAUACACAAAACAUGUGCACAAAAUAGUAAACACAUUUAAAACCAAUUUAGGACUUAUUUGGUUCAGCAGUUCAUACCAGUUGAUAAUGGUUGUUGAUAGCUAGUAGUUGAUGGUUGUGCAGUUGAUUGAAACUUCUGCUAGCUAUCAGCUAAUAAUUUAAAAACUUAUCAAAUACUUACAAUUUAACUGUUCGAUACGAAAUACUUAUCAGCUGAACCAGAAACACUCCUGAUAUAUAAUAUUUUGUGAUUAGGGGUGUGUAAACGGGCAUUGGUAACCAAACCAAACUGAAAUAAUUUUAAAAAUCAAACCAAACUAGCCAGUUCAAUUUCGAUAGGCAUUGGUUCGGUCAAACAGUUUAAUUUUAUUCAAAAAAUAAAUAUUUUGGAAUAACCAAUCCAAAGAUCGAAAAUUGAAAUUAUAGAAAUUUUUAACCAAAACCGAACCCAAAAUCCGAAUAACCAAAUCAAAAAUCGAAAAUAAUUUGGUUCAAUUCGGUUUUGGGUUUUUUCCAAAGUUUGCUCACCCCUAUUUGUGAUAGGUUGGCCAAAACCUUUUUGGCCAUAUAUAUGAAUAGUAACGCUUUUUAUAAAAUAUGGAAAUGACAGGUAAAUGUGUGCCAAGCAUCCCUGGUGUUCAUUGGCUCCUCAUACUAUUUGUCUAUAAAUCAUCUCUGUACCUUCAGUUACUGCACACGUCUCCUUGCUUCUGAUCCUGAAUUGGCGAUAGAGAAACCACUCAUCUUCCAAAAAAUGGAGAAGAAGAAAAGCACCCAUAUACUUGUAUUCCCUUUUCCAAUACAAGGCCACAUAAACCCAAUGCUUCAAUUCUCAAAACGCUUAGCAUCAAAAAACCUGAAAGUCACCUUCAUAACUAGCAGCAGCUCCUCCGUUACUGAGAACAGUUCAACUUGCAUCGAUACAGAAACCAUAUAUGAUGGAUUCAACAAAGGAGAAAAAUCAACGGACCCAGCAGAAUUUAUCGCCCGAUACGAAUCUUCAGUUCCGAAAAGCUUAGCAGAAUUGAUAGAAAAAUACAGUAGCAGUGAAUACCCUGUUAAGUGUAUAGUAUAUGACUCUAUCCUACCCUGGGUUUUAGAUGUGGCUAGAAAGUUUGGAGCAUUUGGAGCUUCCUUUUUUACUCAAAACGUCGCCGUUUGUGCUUUGUAUUAUCUUGCAUUCGAUGGGUCGUUGAAAGUUCCUGUUGAGAAGGAUAAGAUGUCGUUUCUACUGCCUUCUUUGCCGGAAUUGGAGUUCAAUGAUCUGCCGCCGUUCGUUAAUGGUCCAGGAGCUUAUCGGGCUAUAUACGACAUGGUUUUCAGUCAGUUUUCUAAUAUUGACGACGUGGAUUGGCUCUUCUGGAACACAUUUUAUGAGCUUGAAGAUGAGGUACGCAUAUGCUUUAUAUUUCAAAAUCAGAAUACUUAGUUUUAAAUAAUAUAGUGACUGUCGUCUGUAUUUAGAAUUGUUCAAAGUAAAUUAUUAUCUAGUAAUAGGACAUCAUCAAUUUCUGAACUCUAUCGUAAAUUAUUGUCCGAACACGACAUUUCAUUGUCACUUCUCACGUACGUGCUAUAAUUCAUACACUAUAAAUUUUAUGUGUGGAUCUCUAGGAGAAAAUCAAUGUCAAAUCUCAAACCCUUGAUUAAUGAACAAAAGAAUAAUGUUUAGGGGAGUGUUCAGCGCUUUAAUCAGAAUAAUACUAUCUGUUUGUUCGAUAACGGACCUGAAGAUAUUCUUACAUAAAAUGCACUUUUAAAAUUUUUUUAUCAAUUUAAGUUUAUAUGGUAAAUAAAUAUUUUCAACUUGAGUGGGGCUAAUUGAACUCACUACAAUAGCUAGCUGUAACACAACCUGAUUUGGAUAUUGAGAAUCUGUUUUGUUUUAUGAAACGUUGCUCUCCUCACGUGUAAAAUGGCUGCCCCUGUAAGUUUCCUAGUGUAUGUAUGACUCAGCUGCGCCAUGGGGUCGAGAGUUAACCAAAGAGUUGGGUUCUUUUGAGCUUCAUUUUUUAUAUAUUGUUAUUAUGUUUGAGUAUAUAUUGGAGCAGAAAAUUGCAGAUUCUGAUAUUAAAACCAUGUAUUCUUGAAGACGAAUACUAAGCUUGACACGUACUGGGUACCGGGUGGUAUAUAUGCUAUUCAAUUGAUGUGUUCUGUUUGUUGGUGAUUUCUUAUCAGAUAGUGAAUUGGAUGGCAAGAAAGUGGCCGACAAAGCCAAUUGGACCAACAAUUCCUUCCAUGUUCUUGGACAAGCAAUUGGAAGAUGACAAAGAUUAUGGCCUCAGCCUCUUCAAACCCAAUUCAGAUGCUUGCAUGAAUUGGCUAAACGCAAAGGAACCCAACUCAGUUGUUUACAUAUCAUUUGGUAGCCUGGCUGCCCUUAAUGAAGACCAAAUGACAGAACUGGCUUGUGGUUUGAAAAGCAGCAAGAAAGGCUUCUUAUGGGUAGUAAGAGAAUCAGAAGACAAAAAACUUCCAGACAAUUUCAUAGAGGAGACAAAAGACAUGGGUUUAGUUGUAAAAUGGAGUCCUCAAUUAGAUGUUUUGGCUCAUAAAUCAGUAGGCUGCUUUAUAACUCACUGCGGUUGGAAUUCAACGCUGGAGGCAUUGAGCUUAGGAGUGCCAAUGGUGGCAAUGCCACAGUGGACGGAUCAACCAACUAAUGCUAAAUUUAUUGCUGAUGUUUGGAAAGUAGGAGUUAGAGUAAAAGUAGAUGAUGAAAAAGGAAUUGUUGUUAAGGAAGAGAUAGAAAGAUGUAUAGGGGAAGUGAUGGAAGGAGAAACUGGGAAUCGAAUCAGAAAGAACUCCGAGAAAUGGAAGAAACUAGCUUGUGAGGCAGUAGAUGAAGGCGGAAGCUCUGACAAGAAUAUUGAAGAAUUUGUAUCAAAACUUGUGUGCAACUCUAAUGGUUCGAAUCUCUCUUGCCCUUAAUACCAUUGUAAACUUCAAAAAAAAAAAAAAAAAAAAAAAAAAGAAAAAAAAAAAAAAAGAAAAAAAAAAAAAAAGAAAAAAAAAAAAAAAGAAAAAAAAAAAAAAAAAAAAAAAGAAACUCCCAUGUUUCUAAGCAGUAUUAAGGGUAUGGUACUUUUCUUACAUUUAUGUAAGAAUUAAUAUGCAAGUGCAGAAAGGGAUUACGCGAUUUCUUGUUUUAUUUUCAAGAAAUUCUGAACCUGUAAUGCUGCAAAACCGGAAUGUAUUAGUGGAAAACAGGUGGGCUAAGUGUUGAACAAGUUAAGAUUAUCAUUCUCUACCCGAUUGUCUUUUGUAAUUAACUAGUAAGUUAACCAAUAAUAUUGGCGGCUUCUUCUGCAAAUAAUUUCUCAUAUUAACUU
rnacentral:lncRNA from 1 species